UUUUUUUUUUUUUUUUUUGGCAUCUAGGCAAAAUGGAUAAGAACGCACUAACUGUAGAUUAGGUGGCUAGUCAUAGUACAGUGAAAUGCACGAUAAUUGUGCGCUAAUUUAAAUUUUGUCUGUUGGGAGGUACGCUAUAAAAUCAAAUUUCAUCCUUUUAACGUUUAAUGCAAGAGCUUAGACAAAUAUUCAUGGUUCAUAACAGUCCUAACUUAGACUUGCAACUUUUCACUUAUAUAAAAUCAAAAUGGACCCCUUCAUUAAUUUUCGCUUAGGAACUGAUUUACUUAGUUUAACUACACGAGUUUGGUUUUGUUUAACAUCCAUGUGACCUCUUUAUGAUUUGUAUAAAUAUCCAUUUUAUCUCUCUGUGAUUUUUGCAUGAAUAAAUUCAUGCAAUCUCCUUAUGUUUUUAUACGAGGUGGGUAAACCGUCAAUUGAUUUAGCAUUUAAAUAAGAAUACUAUUAGUAUUUCAACUAACGGUGGAGUACAUAGGUUAUUUUCCAUCAAAUUUUCACUUUUCAUAAAAUUAUAGAGGGUGAAGUGGAUAUUUUGAAACGUUAAAAAGAUCAUAUAAUAAUAGAUAAAACCACCACGGGGGAUUAUAUGUAAUUUACCCCUAAAAAGUAAUGCUCCACCUAGUUUACCAAGUGACACACUUUUCUUCUGCUGCGAUAAAAGCGUGAGACAAAGAGAUAAACCAGGAGCAUCAUCAUCUUUUGCACUUCUCUAGAAAAGUCCACCUAAUUAAACUAUUGGCAGUUGUCAUUUGUUAAUUAACAGAAGUUGAUGUUUUACAUCUAUAAUUAAUUAUAUACGUAAUCAAACGAGUUAACCGGAAAAAUCUAAGUCGUAUUCCUUUUUCAGCAGUACAUAUUUUUUUGUUUGGCUAAUUUUGUCAAACAUGAAUUAAAAAAAAGGGUAAACAUAGAGCAUUAGAAGCAUCCGUUUGUUUAAAAGAAGUUAACAAGUUAUAAUACACACCAAUAGCUCAAUAACCAAAUGAUCCAUAUGCUAAUGUUAAUAAUUCCUUUAUCUCUUAAUCUUGAUUAGGAUAGCUUUUGAUUUUUUUUUCUUUUUUUUUUUUUAAAAAAUAUAAAUGACUGAGUCAUGAUUUAAGAAAACGCUAAAUUCGCAUCCCUCCGUCCUAAAAUGAAAAUCACUUCAUAUAUAUACGAUUGAAUAAUAAUGGUAUAAAAUAAUAAAGGGUAUGCAUCAAAAGUGCAAAUUUAACGUGAAAGGUAUGAAUUCAGCCAAUUCCAAGCACUUAUAUUGAUAAAAAUCUAUGUCACUUUCCCUUAACCCUUUAAGGGUUUUCUCGUGCUUUGAAAAGUUCAUAUACUUCGUGAACCUUUUGAAUCAAGACCAGAAACACAAUUUGGUUUUUAAAUAAUCUUGAUGUCAUCAAGAUUAAGAAAUAAACAAAAAAAAAAAAAACUUAAAAUGGCGCGUGAACUCCCAGCGCAUUUUGGUCAAAUUAUGAACCAUGACACGCAACUUUUCAUCUGAGUCCCUUUGUUGAAUUUCCUAGUUUUUGACAAUAAAAAUGGCCACUGCGUAAAAUGCUAAUUUUGACGGACCCUUCAACGGGGUAGAAAAUAACGUUUACCGGGAACAGUACGGUCAAAACGAAUCCAUAACAAUUUCAGCCACAAAAAUCUAAAAUAGUGUACCAAAAAAUCUGUUAAAAUUGAAAGGACUUUGCAUAUUCAGUCUUGAUCAGCAGUUGAAAAUCUGCUAUUCAAUUUAUAGGGAGUUUAGUCGCGGGGCUUAUUUUGUCAACAUCUUGUGCUGAAGUUCAUGAGGGUUGAUCAGCCAAUUCGUCCAAUUUUUGGACCAAAAUUCUUAGUCCAUUUAUGUACUAUUGUACCUCUGUUUUUCUCAAUCAUUCAUUCUGUAGUUAGUUUGAGAAUAUUUUAUUCCUAGUCAAAAUUCUUCUUCGCCGGUUCAUCUAAUUCUUCAAUCACUAGAUAUCUUUAAUUCUUUUGACUGUUCAUACUUUUUCUUUGGUUGAUUACUAGUCAAUAUAUUUGAAUCUUGGGAUAGCAUCCAGUUCAUAACGAUUCUUAUUGAAUGGAAGUUUUCGUUUUUUUUUUAUUUAUAAAAUAGAAGGAAGAAGGAAAUGGGAAAGGAGAACCGGAAAAUUCAAAUGAAACAGAAGGUCUUAGCAGUCGUUUGUAAUCAUUAAUUUACUUUUACAGAAAAGGAACUUAGAAAAUUGUAGACUUGUAGAAAUAUUCUAGAUUCAAUUUGAAUUGUUACUGCAGACUUGUAAAACCAUUCUAGAUUCAAGUAAAAUUUUCUUGAUUCUCAAGCGAAGGAUAGGAUACUACGAGUUUUGCCUUUGCAAUUUGGAAGCAUAUUAAUACAAAAAAAAAAGAAAAUAAAUCUUAUAUACACCGACAGUGUACACACUAUCAUGAUCACAUGCACGAUACAUAUGCAAAAUUUGAAUUUCAAAUUCAAACUUGGAUUAUAUGCUAUGCAUCUAAUGUUGAAAGAGUAUACACUGUCAGUGUAUAUGAAAAAUUAAUCCAAAAAAAAAAAAAGCAAGCUGCUUUGUAUUAUCAAUAUACGCAAUGAAUAAAGUAGAGUGUAAAUCUUAAUUUAAGAACAUAUUUAAACUCAAGUGGAUCAUACUCUUUAAAAAAUCUUGAGCCACUUUAAUGCAUCAAUUUUGUCGAAAACAACGGGAAAGUCGGCAACUUUUCGAUAAGUGCAACCCUUUAUUAAACGUAAAAAUACAAAGUUUCUAACCGUCCUAUCAGAGAAGUAGUUAAAAUAUAUGAUAUAAUCCACAAGAACUGGUAAACGUUGAAUGAUGAAGGUGGGGACACGGGACGGCGGUGCAAGGCGGCUUAUUUGCAGAACCCGGUAACCUCCCUGCCUCGCCCAGCCCCUAAUUAUUUAUUCCUCCAUCAUUUCUCUUUCCAAACAGACAUGAAAAUGGUUAAAAACUCCCUCUUUUUCCUCCUUAUAUACUAUCCAAGAUAAUGAUGAAGAUGAAGAAUAACAUGUAGAGUAGUGUGGAUUUAUAUAGGAUGGCUUCCUAAUAUAUCUCCCAAUUCCAAUAUAAGAAGACGAGUUAUUUAAUUUCCUUCUUUUUUUUUUUUAUGAAACACCAUGCAUGAGAACAGAAAAUAGAUAAUUGAUCCUAACACUAGAAGAUGGCCCUUUUGGAUGAUAAAUAUCUUGGCUACUGACAUAUUCACCACAAAUCAACCUUGGUGUCAUGCAGCCGGAGAUGGAAGCUGCAGCCUUUCAAUUUGACGUGAUGAUAUUUCACUUUGAUACAAGAAACCUAAAGUUGUUUUGCUAAAAAUAGAUAAACAAAAAAAUGGCUUUAUUAUAUCUGUUAUCUAACUAUAAUUCGUUUUGGCCGAUCACCUCACGAAUUGGCAAAUAAAUUAAGAGAAAUGUUAUUCGCGCUCCAUUUUUUCUUAUUUGUAUUUUCAUAAUUUGUUUUAUUAUAUGAUGUAAUAAAUGAAAACUGUAUAAUUGAAAUGAGAGUGGGAUUGUGAUUAACAAAAAUGAGAGUACAAAUAACAUUUCUCUGAAUUCAAAUGUGAACUAAUAAUAUUAGCUUUUGUUGCCUUGAAGACCAUUACUCAAACCAUUUUUCGUGCUGCUAUUAUAUUUCAAAUAAAAAGGCUACAAGCCUACAUGACCUUACGCAUGGAUUUGACUUUAGGUGAUAAUGAAGAGGAUGCAUGAGCGAGCAAGCAAAGAAAUGGAGAUAAGGUAUUCCGUCAUUAGUUUACCAGCUAAUAUCCAAUGUAACAGUUGAGCAAAUCCUGACCUGAACCAAGACUUCUCUGCUUCUGACUUCCCUCAUUUAAAUACUGCCCGGAAUGUCUCACUUGCAGUCUGCCCCAUCCUUAGAACUUUUGCUCAAGUUACAAGCAGAUAGCAUCAUUUGACUCUGCCAAAUUUUAUUAUUAGCUCUUAAAGGCAUUCUUUUUUUUUUUUUUGAGUACAAAAAAUUAUUACUUUUGUACCGUAUAAUUUAGGUUGUUAAUAACUCAUAAAAUAUGGAAAGUACAGAUUAUGAAUUGCUUUACAUGUUCUGAUGUUUUGUUACAAAUUAAAGUAAAUAAGGGCGCAAUCUUUUUCCAUGAUAAAAUUACAUGCAUGAGUUAUAGCAAAGGUAACUGUAAUUUUCAGCUUUCCGGGAUCAUAAAUUGCAAAUUGCAUGAAUCCUAACAUCUCAAUGCUGCAAUCCCCCAUUAUUAUUUCGACAGUACAAGAUCAACAUGUGAUUUAGUUGACAUUGACGGGUCUAUUGAUGUUCUCAACGCCAGCUUCGAUAUGUUGGGCACUUCAAUCCUCAGCACUUUCAUCCGCCAAAGACAGGAGGGGCCAGUGGCCAUCGGCUGCUGAUAAAAUCAUGUCUGAUGAGGACAAAAGUCUGUGCUUAUCAUCAGAUGAAAAGGGUUCAGCAAUUACCUAAAAACCAAAAAGUGGAGUCGUUUUGUUUCUCUAAUUGUCUAGCCACAGAACCAUCUAAUCUUAUUCACGUUGGCUGACAGUCAUAUCUAUUCCGUAGACUUGGUAUUCAUGAAAUGUCUUAUAUUCACAAAUGGAACUCUUACGCAUGCAACGUCCUUGCGCAUUAAAAAAGGACCCUGAAAUGCCAAUAGAGAAUUGUAUCUCCAUCUUCUAAGGCACGAUACAAUGUUUAUUUUCACCCCGUAAUAGAAAAUCGAAAAAGAGAAAGCAGAAAAGUGUCAAGAAAGAAAAAAAAAUACUACAACUUAGAUAUGUUUUCAUGUGUCAUAAUGUGCUUCCAAAAUCAUGUUUUAGCAUUUGAAAAGCACAUUUCUAGAAAGUAGAUAGUAUUUGCCCACAGGAAUUAGAACAAGGGGCUGCCUAGGUAUAUUACAAAGCAACAAAGUUGAUACGAAAAGUACUAAGAACACAUAUAUACUCCCUCCGUCCCGUUUUGUUAGUCUUGAUUUUUUUUUUUUCACACAGAUUAAGAAAGUGUAAUUAAUUUGGUUGGAAACAUAAAUUUAGAUUAAUAAUUUCCUAAAAUACCCUUAUGCUAAUCACGAAGAGUGCCAAUUAAUAUCAGUUACAGCUAAUGGGUUAGUAUUGGAAAAAUUCAAUGUAUUCAAUGUAGUGGGUUAGUAUAUAAUAACAAUGUAUUAAUAACAAGAUAUUUAAUAAGGGUAUUUUAGACAAUUUGAAAGAUUACUACAUUUCUUAAUGGAAAAGUGGACUACAAUUUGGGACAGACGAAAAAGGAAAACAAGACUAUCAAAGUGGAAUAAAGUUAAACCAUGUUUUGAUAAAGUUAAACCAUGUUACUGUAGUAUAUAGUAUUUGUCCUUGAACUAAGCAACAAAAGUCUAUGUCCGUGGCAACAAGAAAAGUUAAAGAAGAAAGAGAGCAUAUGGUUAUGGGAAAAUGGGCAAUGGCAAGGGCAUAGGGAAUUGAGAAUUUGCUAUUCUUUUCUUUUCUUUUCUUUUUCAAGAAUGGGGAAAGGACUAAAGAGGCUUUGGUGCAUAAUUUAUUUGUUAACAAACCGGCUGCCGAUAGUUAAAAAAUUAGUUUAGCUGACCCAUGAAACAAGGGGUGUCCAUCCAUGAGUGUAUGUUUAGUCAAUCUCCAGGUGGAAUUCAAUAAAAAAAAAAUCAGAAACUUUGAAUCUUAAACUAUGAGUGGAAAUAAAAAAUUGAAAAAGCUGUUUCUGAUAUCUUCACACCUUGCUCCUGUUGGGUGCAUGCAAAUUUUAACAGCAGUGAUAAAUUUAUUAGCUGAUGCGAAACUCAACUAAUUAACAGGGUUCUCGUUUUCAUGUAAAAAUGAUGAUCAGUUUGGGCCAAAUUUGGUUUUUGAUUUUACCCAAUUGAAAUUUUUUCCUUUUUAUAAAGAAAAAAACAAAUUUUCUCUGCAAUUUCAAUCUCCAUCAGCAAGGAAUUAUCAUUCUUUUCUAGUGUACAAAGAAGCAUGAAAAGAUUACCAAUGGAAAUGACAGUGUGCACGUUUUUACACUCUAUUCUUGGCUUUUACUCUUUAACACGGCCCAUUAUGGUGUAUCCUCUUCAACUCUUGAAUCUAGUAUCAUAUGCUACUAAACUCUUGUGACAUCUGCUACCUCCAUUAUUUGAAAAACGAAUUGUGCAUCUGUUUUCUAGUGUACAAGAAAGUAUAACGUCCUUUCAAAAGAUACCAAAUCCAAAUGGUGAUAUGCAUAUGCUCACAAUCUAUAUAUUCUUGGCUUUACUUUUGAACAUGGUCCUACAUAUGUGGAAUAUUUUCUACUGAAUUCUUUACACAUGUAUAUAUAUGCUGCUGAAUUCGUGCGACAUUUGCAAUCAUGAAUAUAUGCUAAUGCCGGAAUAGGAUCGAAGGACAUCUAUACUUGGGUAGAGGUAAGGUGUCAAAUGGUAUCCAAGCCAGAUUUUAUUGGUCAUCAAAAAGUAAAAAAACCAAAUGGUAAGCAUAUACUGGGAGUCAUCUAUGGCAUAAGGUGUAGUGAGUAUAUAGCUAGGUAUCAUUAAGUAAUUUAUUCAAUUAAAAUAAACUAAGUUGAUCUAUUAAUUCUCCUAAAAAUAAAAACGAAGUUUGAUGUUGUAUUAACUCAUUUUGUGUAUUACAUUAAUUGUAUGCAACAAAUCCCUAGCUGUUUUGUAAACCCUGUAAUUGGUGCAGCAAAACAUUCAAACCUCACGUCCAGCGAUUAUUUGAUUGGGAUAAUUAGAUUAUGAUGAUAAAUUCUUGGAUUCAAUUCUAUGCAAUAUGUACUGCGUACAAUUUUGUGACUCACAGAGAAGUGAAAACCCCAUAAUCCAUAGCAACCACAUAGAUGCUUAUAAUUCAAGAGCAUCGUAUAGAUGCUUAUAUUAAGUACUUUUCUUCGGAGGGCUCUUCAAUAACCUAUGUAGUUCUUUGACAUCAAUAGCUUGCAACCUAUGUAGUGAUAGACUCCACUAUUACCCCAUCCAGAAAAAGUUGAAAAUUAAAAUUAAGUGGUGAAAUAAUUAGCUAUUCUAAUUACUUCCACAGAGUACAUAUGUUGGAUCAAUUUUUUUUUUUUCAGAAACAAAAGAAAAAUGUCCACAAAUUCGACAGAAAUUCAUCUUAAAUGUAGGCAAGAAAUUGAGGUUUCUUUCGCUUAAGUUGAAUUUUCUUGGAUAAGUGUUCAAGUUUUGUGUCUCCUUAUAUACGUCCUUAUGCCUAUCCUAAAUUAGUUAGUGAAAGUUAAUGGAAUCUAUGUGAAUUUGCACGAGGAGCCCGCUGAAAGUGAAAGGGCUAAUGAACCUUUAUUUUCUUUGGAUGAAACCAAGUCAAAUGGACUAGAGUUUUGAUGCUUUUUGCAAGCAUCGAUUAAUGUGACAAAGACACAAUAUUCUUUUGAGGUGUAAAUAAAUUUUUGAUGGAUUAAUGCAGCACCCAUUCUUUUCUUCUUUUUGAGUUGGUUGUCAGUUCAGACUUGGUAUUUUCGACCUCACAACAGAUUGAAAGAGUCCAAAAGUACCUCUUGUAGUCAUUAAUUUGAUGCAUAUGAAGAAACUGUGUGAUGGAUAUGCUUUCGCCUAAUUAAUCUGCUUGAAAUUAGAUUUUUGAACUAGUCAACAGAAAAUAAAUCACCGUUAUGUCUGGUGAAUAUAAAACAGCGAUUUUAAUUAUACGAAAAAACUGGAUCACAAAUUCAUGAUUUGGGCACUAAUUCUUUCUUUCUUACUUUUUUUUUAGUGAAGAAAAGCAAACAGGAAAAGGUAUACCACCAAACAGACAUAUCAUGCUCAUUCUUGGGUGAAAAAAAGGAAUUACAAUGACCUUGAACUUGGUGCAAAUGCGUGUAGAAGCCUAUUUCUUGUGCUGAUUGUUACUAUUCCAUGUACUUCUGCUGAAAAUUUGCCGACCAUUUUCUUGUGCGUUGGAGAACUAGGAAGAAUUGAAAAGUUUGACGAACAAUUAAUUAAUUUGCCAUACACAGUGCUUUAGACUUCAGCUAAAAGGUGAAUACCAAUUUGUGGUUGAAAUGCAUGAUUACUCAAUAGCUAUCUUUUCAAGAAUUCAAGUACAUUGGUCGUGCUAGGGUCGGGUUGGGGCGCCGGAUCCGGGUCGCAGGAAAUUAAUCGGGCCCCGUAAGGAUUGACCCGGACACCCCUGUGUUGAAAAAAAAAAAAAAAAAAAGUACAUUGGUCCUUUUGUUUUUUUUUUUUUCCCUUGCGAGGAACAAAUGCUUCACAAUCGGCCCCUUAAUUACGCGAUCUUGGAUGAAGAAUUUUGGUGUAAUGCAUCGUUUUCUUAGACAAGUUGGAUGAUAACAAACUCAGUCAUUGCCAACUCUUGAUUUAGUCAUAAGCCGAAGGUAUUGCUAAAACAUACCAAUAACUAUUUUUGGGCGUAGAAUCCUUUAUUUCACUUCUCAUGCAAAUUUCCAUUUCAGUGCUUAGUAUUACAAGUGUCAGCUCACAAUAUAAUUAUGUUGACACGUCCAAAUCCACCCCACUAAUAAAAAAUAAGUAAUUAGGUAUAUCAUAUUCAUUUUUUUAUAUGAGUACAAAUAGAUUAAUUUAUUUUGACCCAUUUAUUAAAUGGGUUAAUUUGAUUAAACCUAUUAUUUAAUUAUGAACCAUCCAAAUUCGUUCAUAUCAUCCAUUUUGACACUUAUACUCAACAUUACUAUAUCGAGGCGAGAUGUGUCAGGAAUAUACGAAAAUUUUUAUAUAGGAUGUCACUCGUUUGAAAUUGAGGUCCAUAACUCAUGAAUAAAUAUCACCAAGUAAAUUGCGAAUAUUUAAUUCAAAUAUUCAUGUCAAUCCUUGACAAGAUCGAUCGAUUCAUAAAUUUCAUGUUGAUUGACACUAUAAAAUUUAUCGAAAAGAAAUAAAAUGCGAAUGCACAUGUUAAUUUCUUUAUUCUUGAAUCAGUCAUUGAUGCAAUAUUUUGAGACCUAUCUCCAUAUUUUCCAAUCUCCAUUACUUCUACAUAAGUAAACAUCUUCGAUAUGAACUUGAGGUAGAAAGCUCUUUGAAGUUGCGAACGUUGAAAUUUUCCAAUGAUUUGUGACGCUAGUAUGAUGCAGAACUUGGUAAUUGCUUGGAAUGAUAGCGAGCCAUGGACGAACCUGCCCUCUUACUUCUAUGGGGAUAACAACAGAUCCACCAAAUCGCCAAUCAUUUAUUCAACCUUCAAACAUUAGUUUGAAUUUCUAUUCUUCACUGAAUAUUGAGCCAGCAUAUUGCUGACUAGUAUUUUUUUUGUUACUUAAAUCAAUUUUCUAUGCUUACAUUUUUUUUAGGUAUAUAGUUCGUGAGUAUCAAAUAAGUCAUCACUAAAAUCUAUUUUCAUCAACCACGAUAUAGUUUGAAUACUCGUAGCCAGAUAUUGUUGUUUAUACCAAACGGUUCAAACAUUAUUUGUUAAAAAAAAAUUUUCUGCAUGAUAUUUGAGUGGAAAAAAAGCAGCUAGGGUAAAUAUUUAAAUCAAAAUGUCGAAUCAACUACUACAAUUUUGUCCUUUUAUUUGAUCUUUUCUUAUGCCACCAAUUCAAAUAAAAUAAUAACAGCUUUGACUUUUCAAGAAAUGAUAAAUGAUUAAUCAACUAACCUACCCUCCUUUGUUUUCCGGUACGAAUUAGCCUAUAACUUAAGUAGGACCCUACUUAGAAAAUGUUAUACUUAUAUAUACCACGCUAUACAGACGUACCUAUUUUAUUGAUUACAGCUAAGAUUAAGAUAAUUUUAAUCGGCAAAUGAUGUCAAAGAGCAAUUGGGAUGUUGAUUCAGGGAGAUAAAUUAUUUGUACAAUCCAAAAAAGAUAGAACAAAAGGGAUCUCACGGAGCUAAUUGUUGUUUAGUUGCUAGUAAUCUUCCUGUGUGAACCAUAGAAAGUUCAGUGGCAGCCGCUAAUGGAACCUAAAAAAGAAUUACGUUUUAGAUAAUGUCCUCAAUUAUUUUUAAUUGUUGAUUCAUAUCAUAAUUAAAAGCCUGUUUGAUCAGAAUUCUGAUACUGUGGCACAUGUCACUAAUGGCGAAUUAUGUACAUCGUAGUUUAUGUUCCCAAGCAACAUGGUCCACCGACUUGCAAGAAUCCAAGACUCUUUCACCUCUGAUUUGUAUUGAUUAAUUACUGAUCUUUUGCCGAAACGGAAAUAAACACAUACACACACAACUAAUUAAACCACACACAGGAGUAAAUGAAAAAUCGGUCCGAAAAUAAUCUAAGGAGAAUCUACAAAGAACCAUUGUUCAGCCAAUUGAUGAUAGAAUAGAGUCCCUGUGAACCUUAAAUUCAUAGUGAAGACUCCCAUGAUCUUUCGACGUGGGAUAGGAAGUCUUUAACCCCUCCCGUACACACCCUCACCAGCGAAUGGGUGCAUGAUUAUGACACUCAAAAUGAUUAAUGUAACUUUGAACAAUUUCUAGCAAUUUCUGUUGUCCGAAAGGCAAAUUUUGGUGCAGGUCUUUUUAUGGAAGCCGCCCCACUAGUUAAGAGUCCUAAGCACACAAGCAAACAAACUAUCUAGUCAAACUGCACAAUGGCCAUUAAUUCUUUCUUGAUCUAUCUAUUAUUCCAAAUAAACAAACAUGUUAUAUAAGGCAUUUGGAGUGAGAUCUCACUACAGUACUAAGCAAGAGUGAAUUUUUUUUACUGAGAAGAGAUUUGAAAUGAACAGUUAAUGUCUCAAUAAUUUACAAGUUAUUAGGUUUAGCAUUCAAUUCCUGUAUCGAACAGUUGGGAGUGGAAAGGAUGCUGGGAGGGGUGGGAAGUCAAACAAAACAAAAGUUAAGAAAAAAGUUGUUUAACUGACCCCCAAAAAAAUAUUUGCAAGUUGUUUUCAACUUGGACUAAUCUUCUUUUGACCAUGGAAGAGAAUGUGGUAUAUUUCGCCUCGUUUGACUAAUAAAUAUUUUAAAUGAUUGGUUGGUGUUCCCAGUUUUUUUUCACACUAGGCCAAAUUAUGCAUACAUUGAACAAAUUGAUUUAAUUCAAACAUGGAGUACUAGGAUAUGAUCCACAGACACGGUGUUUAAGAAGCUCAAUAUUCGUUUGUAAUUCCAACAUGCCCUAAUUAAAAGUGUUUGAAAAACAUAUUGUAAACUUUGUUUCCAUUUUUUUUUAAAAUUUAACUGGUUUUGAACAUAAAUCAUAAAAUCUAAACAACCAAGAAUAUCUUUUAGUCAACCCCAGUAAUUAUCUCAUGAGAGAGAUGGUAAAUUAUACACUGAAUCAUGGACCAUGUCCAUGUUAUCAUUUUACUUUUUCUAAGCAUUUUAAACUUAAUUAAUCUUUCCCUCAACAUGCAGAUUAGGUUAAGUAAUUUCAUAGUGAAUCAUUUAAUUGGGACAUUUCUUAGUGCCAAAAGAAAAAAAACAUGGUAAAUAUGCCAAGUUGUGACUUGUGAGUCUAAAGACCGGAAUGGGAUAAUUCCCUGCAAUCUUAAUAUAUUAGUUACUACACCAUCAAAUCCAUUGACUAGAUUAACUGUUUGAUGAGUAAUUGACUAAUGAAUUGAAACAAUGAUAGCUAAGCAAUUUCAUAUUUUUGGAUAACAAGGUUUGGGUACUAGUACACUAUUCAUUUCAGAAAACGGCGAACUUAUGCUUGCUAUUUUUUAAACUAUUAGAUCUUUUUUUGGUGUUCGUUUAGAUGUUGACAAGUCUUAUGAGAUGAAUGUUCACAUCCUUAAGGCUUCAAAGUCUUUCUUGACCAUUAUUUUCAUCUUGUUUACCGGCAUAUAUUGGAGACUCUAUUACAAAAUUGUCACCAAUAAUAUGGCAAUCUGUCUCUCUAGAGUAAAGCAUGCAAGUAAAAUUGAAGCCACAAAGAUUCAAAUUGGAAACCAUGCAAUUCACGUAAUGAAACCCUUUGCAACGUUUGCUUGAAGCUUCUCAAUCAUUCGGCAGAUGGUUAAUGAUUGUGCAAAUAAAAAUGUUGCAAGAAAUUUCAACUUUUUAUGUACCAAAAGGGGAUGAAAAAUAAUCGAUUCCUUCAAAACAAACAGUUACAAAAAAAACCCACCAAAAAAAGAAAUGUCAAUAUAUAUAGUAACAAAACAAUCAAGCCAUGGGCAUAUCUUUACAAACAAGUCAUAGGUUUGUCGCAUUACGCUGCCUUGACUCGAUCAAUACGUACCCAGACUGAGAACAGGUUUAUGUUGGAAACACAGAAGCCACUCUGAACUUUCAGCAAUUUUGUGCUUAUCCAAUGAAAACCAAAACAUAAUUAGGUUCGAAUUGAUGCAGAAGGAAUUAUGGUAGUAAACGAACUUUUUUCUACGGGCAAAUUCUUGAUAACGUACUUAGACGUCAAAACAUGACGUAUUAGUUUUCAAAUAUUAAUUAAAACCACUCUUCCUUGCAUGUUCUUUUAGAAGGCUAAGUCAACAUCCUUAUUAACAAGUUUAAGGAACACUUAAGAAAGCAAUGUCCUUAGGCGUUAAAAAAACAGACCCUGAAACGGCAGAAAAGUGUCGAAAAAAUUAAACAACACUGACAACCUGGAUCUGUUUCCAUGCGUCAUAUAUAUAUGUUCAGUAUAGCUUGUAAUGUGCUUCCAAAAUUAUGUUGUGGCAUUUUAAAAACACAUUUCUAUAAAUUAUUUAUCCGCAGGAAUUAGAACCAACAGGCUGAUUAGGCAAUAAUAUACUAUAAAGUUGCGUUGAUGGUUUCGCCUGCCACAUACUAAAAGUACUAAGAGUACAUAUACAUUUUGUUUUGAUAAUAAACCCUUGAAUCUAGAAAUAUCUGCUGCUGAAUUCGUGUGACAUUUGCAAUCUCAAUUAUUCGCUUGGUCCUUCAUUUUUGACACUGAGAAGGGAAAAUUGACUUCUUCCUUUAACUGAUGUUACAGGUUGAAUGUUAGGCUAUAUAUAAUGAUAGUAUCCUGUACCUGAAUCGAGAAUUGAAGGACAUAGAGUUCGGUAAAUGGUGACCAAAUGGUAUCCAAGGCAGAAAUUAUGGGUGAAAAAGGUAUUAGAACGAAAUGAUUCCCAUUUAUACUGGGAGGCAUCUCUGGAUAUAAGUAUUCUUCUAAAAUUCUGAAAGGGAAAUGGAAUUAUCCUAAGUUCUAAUAUGCUAAUUUAUAAUCGACCCAACACGCUGUCUGUAAGACGAUGUAGUAAAUGCAUACGUAUCAUCCCAUGACUCUCUUUUUGUUUGAUCUCUCUAAGGUUUUUUUUAAAGAGAGUUUCAUCUUUUCGAGGUUCUUUAUUGUAUUAACACUUGAUAGACUCCACUAUUACCCCUUCUAGAAAAAGUUGAAAAUUAAAAUUAAGUAGCUAUUCUUAGUUCUUCCGCAGAUUAGAUAGAUAUGUUGCAUCACUUUUUUUUUUCAGAAACAAGAGAGAAAAGUAAUCCACAAAUUCUGCAGAUCUUAAAUGUGGGCUUGAAAUUGAAGUUUCUUUUUCUUGGAUAAGUGUUGAAGAUUAGUGUCUCCUUAAUUACAUAUAUGAACAUGGAGUAAAGGAAGGUUCCAUGCACCUUUUUUUGACGAUUAUGGCUAUCAUUGAUUCAGAACCAAAAUUAGUUAAUGAAAUUUAAUGGGGUCUACGUGUGUUUGCACGAUGAGCCCGCUGAAAGUGAAAGGGCUAAUGAAUCUUUAUUUUCUUUGGUAGAGAACAAAUCGAAUGGAGUGGAGUUUUGAUGCUUUUUUCAAGCAUCAAUUAUUGCCACAAAGGCAGAAUAUUUUUUUUUUUAGGUGUAAAUAAAUUGUUGAUGCAUUAAUGUACCCAUUCUUUUUCUUCUUUUUUAGUUGGUUGUCGGUUCACAGUUGAUAUUUUCAACCUCACAACAGGUUGAAAGAGUCUUAAAAGUGUCUUGCAGUCAUUAAUUUGAAGCAUAUAUAGAAGAAGUUGUGUGAUGGAUAUGGUUUCGCAUAAUUGAUUUGAUUGGAAUUAAAUUUGAACUAGUCAAGAGUUAAUAUAUCAUCUUUAUGUCUGGCGAAUAUGGGACAACUAUUUUAUACAAAAAAAAAAAGGAUCACUAAUUCAUGAUUUGGACAGUAAUUCUUUUUUGAUUAUUUUCUAGGGAAGAAAAGGGUACAGAAAAAAAAAUAUAUACCACCAAACAAAAAAAAAAUCAUGGUCAUUCUUGGGUAAAAAAAAAAAAAAGGAAUUACAAUAACCUUGGACUAGGGGCACAUACAUUUGGGUAGAUGCCUAUUGCUUGUCUUGAAUAUUGUUAUUUCUGCAGAAAAUUUUCCAACCAUUUAAACUAGACCCUUAUCCAAAUUCAUUGGGGAUACUUGCAUUGGAGAACUAGAAAGGAUUGAAAAGUUUGAUGAACAAUUAAUUAAUUAAUUUGCUUUACACAAGGCUUUAGGCUUCAGCUAAAAACUGAAUCCCACUGAAGUUUGUAGUCGAAAUGCUUGAAUUUUCAACUGCUAUCUUCUUUUCUACCAAAAAAAAAAAAAGAAAAGAAAAAGUCAGUGGCUAUCUUUUAAAGAAUUCAUAUAACUACAUUGCGUGCGGUCCUUAUAAGUGUGUGUAUAGAUAUAUGUAUUUUCUCGCAAGGACCAAAUGCUUCAUAAUCGGUCCCUUACAUGACCUUGGGACAAGAAUUUCAGUGUCAUGCAUCAUUUUCAUAGACAAGCUGGAUGGUAAUAUGAUAACAAACUCCAUUCAUUGCCAACUUUUGAUUCUAGUCACAAGCCCCCACGUAUUAGUCAAAAAUACCAAUCACUAUUUUUUUCUACAUGAAAUCUUUUAUUUCACUUCUUACACAAAUUUCCAUCCCAGUACUCUAUAUUGUCUCACCACAGGUAAUUCAUUAGCCUUACCAUAGCGAGGUAUGCUAGGAACACAAGAAGAUCGUUAGGUUUAGGUAGAGCUACACUCAUUUGAAGUUCGACCCACUCAUCAAUUUUCAUGGAAAUUCAGAACACAUAAUUCAUUGAAAAGAAAUAAAAUGCAAACAAUCUUGUUAAUUUCUUUAUUCUUGAAUCUGUCGACGUAUCUCCAUCAUAUAAUAUCUAGAUACAUCUAGAUGAGUAAACAUCUUUGAUAUCAAUUGACAACCAAUAUUAACCUAAUUGAUAAGACGCAUCACAGGAAGUGAUAAAUGCUCUUUCAAGUUGCGAAACGUUGAAAUCUUCCAUCAAGUUGUGACGCUUGUAACAUGCAAAAUUUGAUAGCGAACCAUGUGAGAAGGAUGAGAACAGACCUACCAACUUGCCAAUCAUUUAAUCAAACUUCAAACAUAGCUUGAAUUUCUGUUCUUUAUUAACUAUUGAUUCAGCAUAUUGCUGACUACUAUCAUCUUUUUUAUGGAGGGAUCAUUUUCUGCUUACUCUUUUAAGUGUAUAAUGAGUAUCAAAUAAGUUAUCAGCAAAAUCUAUUUUCGUCUAGCACGAGAUGGUUUAAAUAUUCACAGCCAGAAAUUGAUGUUGUACCAAGACAAGAGAAUAAUGAAAUAAUAACCAUGAUUAAGAUCUUGAAUGCAAACGAAUUUGAAGCUUUGUAUGUUAUUUCUUUUGAUUUAUUUUUAAACUUAAUCCAGUGAUAUAUAGUCAUUAAUUAGAAUUAACAUACAAAAAUAAUAAUAAUAAACCAUUCUUUAUCAUCAAUCUCAUCUUGGUUAGUAAAAUGUCACGUUAGCAUAAACAGCUGGGCUAAUAGUUUUUACCUACUCCCUUGCAUGAUGUUUGAGUGGUGCAGAAGCAGCUAGGGUAAGGAUCAAAAUCAAGAGGUCGAAUCAACUGUUACAAGUUUGCCCUUUUAUGCGUUCUUUUUCCACUAAUACGUACAAAUGAUGAGAUAAAUUAAUAACAGCUUGACCUUUCACAUAGAAUUAAUCAACUAACCUAUGCUCUUUUUUUUUUAUUUUUUUUGGGUACGGAUUUGCCUAUAAUUUAAGUAGGACCCUACUUCGAAAUUAUUUAUUGCAGCCAAGAUGAAGAUGAUUUUAAUUGGCAAAUGAUGUCAAAGAGCAGUUGGGAUGUUGCAAAGUCUCCCUAAAAAGAUCAGAUCUUUUUGAAGAUAUGAAACUUUCUCCUUGAGUUGCGGAGCUAACGAUUCUGCGGGAAAGUAGAAUUUGCAACUUUUACAGGAAUCUGAAAGUGGCUGUGAUUGAUCGAGUGAUUGCAGUUGAAGAUGGGAUUGUAUGUGUUUAUGGAUUGAAUGAAAUUCAAGCUGGAGAAAUGAUUGAAUUUGCCAGCGGGGUGAAAGGUUGAUUCAAGGAGAUGGUUGUUGUCUAGUUGUUUGGUGAUCUUUCAGUCUAAACCAUAGAAAGUUCAGUAGCAACCACUAGGGGAAUCUAAAAAUGAAUUAGGUUCUAGAUGCUGUCCUCAAUUGAUUUUUAAUUCUUUAUUUAUUUCUUAACUAAAAGCUUGUUUGGGAACUCUGUCACUAAUGGCGGAUUAUGGUCUCGGAGGUGUAUGCCUUGAUCCAUGAUAACGAUUGAAAUUAAACCCAUUCAAACUUUUAUUUACAAAAAAAAAAUAAUAAAAAUAAUGGCGAAUUAUGUGCAUCAAAUUUUAUGUUCACAAACAACACCAUCCACCAACUUACAAGAAACACAAGCCUUUUUCAUCUCCAAUUUGUAUUCAUUAAGUACUGAUUUUGGUACAUGAUUAUGACACCCAAAAGAAAAAGUGUAACUUCGAACAAUUUUUAGCAAUUUUUAUUGUCCGAAAGGCAAAUUUUGGUGCAGCUCUUUGACGGAAGCCGCCCCACUAAAUGAGAGUACUAAGCACUCAAGACUUCAGGUUAUCUCACCUCCAAUCAAACUACACAAUGUCCAUUCUUUCUUGAUCUAAUCUAUUAUUCCAAAAAAAAAAAAAAAUUUGUUAUAUAAGCUACUGGAGGGAGAUCUCACUACAGUAAUAACCAGGAGUGAUAAAUAGGACUUCUGUGCAUGGAAAAAAUUUUUGGAAAAUUUAAAAAAAAAAAAAACUAAAGAACUUUAACUCUAUAAUUCAAGUAAUUUUCUGAUACAGAGAAGAGAUUUGAAAUGAAAAGUUAAUAAUGUCUCAAUGAUUUACAAGUUGUUUUCACCUUGAACCAAGAUUUUGUUUUUAUGACAAAUAAUUGCUAGCAUUCAUCAUAUUGAGGUAAUCUAUUUUUGACCAUGGAAGAGAAUAAUGUAAUUUAUUUCACCUCGUUUAGCUAACAAGUAUCAGUUGGUGUUCCCAUCUUUCUUCCUAAAAGGGCCAAAUUUUCUAUUUUGCGGGUGAUUUUUUUCCCUCUGUGUGUGUCAUAUUAUGAAUUAAAAAAAUGUGUAGUCUUUUCCCUAGUCAACAAUGUGUGAACACAUUGUAAACUUUGUUUCCAUUAUUUUUGUAAUUUAACGUGUUUUGAACAUAAAUCAUAAAAUCUAAGAAUUAUGUUUAAACGUUAUUACCUACGAAUCAAAUGGUAAUUAACAACACGCAGAAUCAAAGAGAUGGUAAUUAGCAUUUUAAACUUAAUUAAUCUUUCCCUCAACGUGCAGGUUAGGCUAAGCAAUCUCAUAGUGAAUGAAUCAUUUAAUUGGGACAUUUCUUAGUGCCAAAAGAAAAAAAAAAACCAUGAAAAAUAUGCCAAGUUGUGACUUGUGAGUCUAAAGACCGGAAUGGGGUAAUUCCUUGAAGGACUACUACUCUUAAUAUAUUUAUUAGUCAAUAUAUGACAUCAAAUUCAUUGACUAGAUUAACUACUUAAUUAAGUAAUUGACUAACGAAUUAAAACUAUAUGACAUCUAAGCGAUUUCAUAUUUUUGGGCGCUGGUACACCAUUCAUUUCAUGAAGUUCACAAUUCUUCAUUUUUUUUGGGUCUCUGUUUAGAUAUUGACAAAUCUUGUGAGAUGAAUGCUCACAAUCUGAGCCCUUCAAAAUCUUUCUUGCUUACCUAUGUUAGGAACUCUAUUACAUAAUUGUCUCGAAUAAAUAUGGCUAUCUGUCUUUAUAGAGUAAGCGUGUCGGUAAAAUUGAAGCCAAAAUAUAAGUAGCAAAAAGAUUGAAGCUGGAAAUUAUAUAUGCAUUUCACGUAAUGAAAGCCUUUGCAUCAUUUGCUUCUGAGUCAUUUGGCAGAAGGUUGAUGAUUAUAUAUGCAAAUAAAAAUGGGCAAGAAGUUCCAGCUUUCUAGGUACCAAAAUAUCAUGAAAAAUAAUAGAUUCAUUCAAAACAAUCAGUUACAAACAAAACCCACAAAAGAAAAGGAAAAAAAAAAAAAAAAGAGCUAACAAAUACAUUUUUAAAUCACAGAAAUUACUCUGAAACUUCGACAAUUUUGUACUUAUCUAAUGAAAACGAAAACAUAACUAGGUUCAAAUUGAUGUAGAAGGAUUUAUAGUAGUAAACAAACUUAUUCUUCAUGCAAAUUAAUGAUAAAUCUUGAUAAUGUACUUUGACUUCGAAACAUCACGACAUUGGACAUGAUUCUUGAAAAGAUUAUCUUUUCUACUUCUGACAUUAUGCCAUCUUUAGGAUUUUUACACUUUUUUUGGAUUUAAAUUUUAUUUUUUUAAAAAAAAUAACUGCUGACCUCCAUCUUAAGGAACACCCGCUGAGUACUUGUUAGACAAACCCAUGUAAAAAUCAGGAAUCAACUCAUAAAUUUUAGUCUAUCUGAUAUUUUACUGGUGUGACAAAUGUGCCACAGACUAUUACUUCAGGGUACUUAAGUGUCAAAGUCAAUAGUUUAGGGUACAAAUAGAAAAGCCAUACUAUUUUAUGGGUGCAAAUUGCAAUUAAUUCUCAUUUUCUUAAUCCAAUCAUACUGUCGGAUAGGUCAUCCUACUCCGAGAUUUUUGCCACUAAGAUAAUUAAUUAAAAUGCAUAAUUCCUAUCAUAAAUUUCAUUGAAGGCGUGAAGGGCAAUUGGAAUGUCACUUCAAGAAAAUAUUGCAUAUGAAAUGCAAAAGGGCAAUUGGAAUGUCAUUUUCCUAUAUAUAUUUUUCACGGAAACUUGAGUGGAAGCUACUAAUGGAAUCUAUUAGAAUUCUAGACCGGUAAGAAUGUUGAAUCAUUUAUUAAUUCCGGAUUAGUUUCUUAAUCUGGCUAUAGUUAAUUAAUAGUAGAGUGACAAGUGUUCCGUGACCAUGAGUUCAUAUUCUACCAUACAUAACCCACCAACCUGCAAUAACAUAAGAUCUAGUUUUCACAUCUAGUUUUCACUUUUCACUAAUUAAUGAUUUUACAAGUUAAAAGAAAAGUAGCCAAAGGGAUAGUUUAACUUCUCCAUGGUCGAAAAGGCAAUUUUUUGAGUAAGUGUUGUAUGUUGUGAUAGGUACAGACUAAUUACUUUAGAUUUUGCAAAUCUUGGAAGCGCCCCACUAAUUAUUGGUCCUAAGCAUGCAAGAGAGGGUAUAGCCAAAUGCUGUUGAGUUGAUGUGAAAUUGAUCCGUGCCAAUAAGAUAGCACAUGAAUUAACUUUUCACGCUAAAUCUUCACAUCUUGUGGAAUCCCUAUGGAAUUUCUCCCUCAACUUUGUUGAGUAAUUUAGUGUUGGACGAUUUUCAACAAUUUAGUUAAUAACAUUUUCUUUUUUUUUUGUAUAAAAAUAAACUUGUGUCAAAGUUUUCUUAUUAUGCCAAAUCAAAAUAACUCAUAUGUAAACUAUUGAGUGUGAGGAGUUGUUAGAAGUUGAGCAAGGUUUGAAAUGACUAAUUAUCUCCGUUCUUCCUUUCAAUCGCUCAAUCGGGUUGUACCCUAGAGAAUUAUAGGGGUUUUACACUUUUUUUUUUCUCCAAUUUGGAGGUUGACUAAAAAUAAUCCUAUAGGUUGCUAUACAGAAUAGUUAUUCAACUUAUUUGAUGAGACUUAGCCGUCGUAAAUAAUUCAAGUUCUUUAAUGGUGUAGGUUCGUUGUCUUUUAUUUUAACUCAGAACUUCUUGUAUCUCGCCAAAAUCUUCAACGUAGAUUAGUGCAAAAUCACUACUACAAAGGGUGCUGCUGGGGAGAGGGGAGCAGGGGGAGUUUUGAUAUAAACUGGUCAAAAGUUUUAUUUAUUUCUUUUUGACGUAAUACAUAAGUCAGGAGCCUAAGUUGUCGGGUCAAUGCUGAAGUCCAUUUGUGCUCUAAAAUCAAUGGAAAGUUGCAGAAAAAAAGUAUGCUGUAUGGGAAAAAUGGAUGCAACUUGGAAUGGUUAUUCAAUUUAAAACUAUUUUCUACAAUAUAAAGGAGGUUAUUAAAAUCAUUGCAUCACAACAACCAAAAAAAACGGGGGAGAAGGAAUAUUAUGAAAUGAUGAUAAUCCAAGGAAGAUAUCUGGAUUAAAGUCUUCCAUUGAAACCGAAAAACUAAUUUACAAAAAAUAAUUGAUGGACUGGUUUCCGGUCACCUUUUCCAGGCCCUAUAUUAGAGCCCAACGAAAUGCGUCCAUAAUUUAAUUGAUUCAGGUGUCAAAAGUCCAACUCAAUUUCAUUUCUCUAGCCCUUCACUAACCCAAUAAACCGGCCCAAUAUUUAGUUUUUCUCUAAAAUGCCCAUGGGUUUAUAAAAAUUGCAAUAUCACCCGCAAACUUUGCUGUCCAUGGCGAUGGCCAGACCCUUCAUCUUCAAAGCCUGUCUCCUUUCCGCCGAAACUCCGAACCUCUUGAAGAAGAAUCGCAUGGACCCGAAGCCCUUUUCAGAAAAAGACCAGUUUUUUUCAGCAAAAGCCGAAAAGGUCACCACCAAUGGUGCAGCGAACAUAAGCCUUCAAGAAUGGCAGGGCUGGGGCGCCAUCUCACCUGUACCUGCCAUGGUUAUUGAAGUCAUUCAGGACUUGAAGCUUCUGGAGAAAGAUAUUGGAGCUCAUUUGGAUUUUGGUGGCAAUCAUGGCAAACUCCAAGUAAGAACAAUUUUCUCUUUCUUUAUUGAUUAAUCCCCCAACUCUCCUCCAAGAACAGUGGAAAAAAGAAAAGAAUUGAACUACCAAAAGUAAGAAUAUUCUGUGUAAUAUGUGUUUAAAUUAGAUGAUGAGAUGCAUAAAGUUUUUAACUUUUUAUUUGACUGUUUUCUUGAUAGACAAAUUGAUGGGUGAUGACUUGUUUAGAAGCUUUACUGAUUUUACCUUGGGAUUUUUGUAUUUUGUUUAUUAUUUAUUUAUUUAUUAUUAUUAUUAUUAUUAUUGGUUUCUGAAGGGCUGAAAACAUCAACUGUGAUCAAUUGAUGUUAUGUUAAGGAAAUUGUAAGUGGUAAUGUGAAUGUAAACAUGAGAAUAGAAUUGUCAUGUUUACUACUACAUGCAACAGGUUCGAGGCUAUGUUUGGCUUUCAGCUCAUGUGACCUGUUGGAUGGUCAUAGGUAUCUUAUUUGAUCAAUGCAAAGCGUUGUGCAUUAAAAAUCAAUCAUGGUAUUAAUGGAUGAGAUUUUGAUUCAGGUGAUGCUUUUGUUGGUCGAAGGUAUUAAUAUGAUCUGUGCAUGACGUCAUCCAGAAUUUUUUGUGUGUAAUUUAUCACUCUGAAACUGAACUGUCUUGUUAGGCAUGUUGCUUUUACUGCUUCCUGUAGAUUAUUUAUGUAAAAUGCCUCUUUCUAGGACUCUCUUAUGUUAAUACAGACGAUGAUUGCUCAUUUAUGACACGUACUAACAAGCACAUGAAACAGGUGGUUUACUUUUACGGCUGCCACUAGAUUAACAAUUUUAACAUUUCCUUAGAUUGGUUAUGGAAAUUAGCGAGGCCAUACAAUCAUUUUCUGUAGAGUUUGUUGAUAUAUAUCCCUUAAUGUGAAGUUUCUAACGGAGUACUGAAAUUAGUGAGUACCAACUGUCCAGUUCAGUUUUGAAUGUCCUCAGAUGAGUACAUAUGUAUUUAAUUGAUAAGAGCUCCUAGUAUGCAAGUCACUUGGAAGGUGAUACCAAUGUAGACAGUUAAGUAAUCAAAUAUUCCCAAGAUUGGAUGUAGAGAUCAGAUGUAGUUCAAGUAUAUACUGGUCUGAGAUAACCUUUAGACAGGGUAUUGCUAGAGUCUUGCAUUCUAUUAUAGAUUCAGGGGUGCUUUUAGGUGGUUAAACUAUUGAAGUAAAUGAAAGUGUGUUUUACCAUGUCUUUUAUUUGUUUUUUGUUAAAUGUAUUCCCCUUUUCACUAUGCAGAAUGAUAGCCUUCUCUUCUCUAUCAGUCUCUCUCUCUAUCUCAUUUUCUGUGUGUGUUUGCAAUAUUUUUGGAUGUGUACUUAAUGACAUAGAUAGCAACCGUCAUAUCACAAUGUUUCUAUGGUAAGGAGUUACAAUUAGGUUUUGUAUUGUUUAUGUUGUUUGCUCUAUUUGAUAUUUCUUUUUUUCUGUCAUUUUCAGUGGUUAAUCAAUACUUUUUCUGCUGAAUAAUGUUGUACAUAUUGUAGCUGCUGUGGAGUGAUUAUAUAAUUUAACAGAAUGGUUUGUUAAUUUAGCUGAUAAUCCAUUUGGAAAUUGAAAAAUGUAACGACAAUAAGGGAACAAGUUCAUGACCUGCUAGAUUCUAUCCCACAUCGACGCUAUCAGUGCCUCCAAUUCAGUAUACAAAGUUCAUUUCCUUAUCCCACGAUCGCCGAGCUCAGUAACGUGGGCUUUCACCCAAGUGGGGGGCAAGGGCAUGGACUCGGUUGCUGGCAGCACAAAAAAAUUCCACAUUCCACAUUCCACGAUUUUAAAAAAAAAAUCAAUGAAUUAAAAAAAGGUUGCAGCAACUGGGACCAUUCCCUUUUCUUCAUUUUUCGUCUUUAAGCCACAAAUAAACUACAGAAAUUUAGCUAGCUAGAUUUGCAAUGUUUUUGUAUGUGUACAUAAUCCCAUAGAUAGCAAGCGUCAUAUCAAAAUGUUUAUAUCGUAAGGGGUUACGAUUAGGUUUCUUAAUGUUUAUAUUGUCUGCUCUGUUUGAUAUUUCUUUUUUCUAUCAUUUUCAGUAGUUAAUCAAUACUCUUUCUAUUGAAUAAUAUUGUACAUGUUCUAGCUGCUGUGGAGUGAUUGUCUAACUUAACAGAAUGGUUUGUUAAUUUAGUUGAUAAUCCUUUUUGGAAAUUGAAAAAUGUAAUGACAAUAACGGAAGUAGUUCAUGACUUGCUAGAUUCUAUCCCACAUCGACAUCAUCAGUGGCUCCCAUUUGGUAUAUAAAGUUCAUUUCCUUAUCCUACGAAUGCUAGGCUCGGUAAUGUGGGUUUGUACCCCAAGUGGUGGCAUUAAGGGUAUGGAAUCAGUUGCUUGCAACCCAAAAAAAUUCCACAUUCCACUAUCUAAAAAAUAGACAUGAAUGAAUUCAAAAAUGUUGCAGCUGGUUGGACCAUUACCUUUUCUUCAUUUUUGCUGUUUAAGGCACAAUGAAACUGUAGAAAUUUAGCUAGCUAGCAUUUGCAAUAUUUUUGUAUGUGUUCAUAAUCCUGUAGAUAGCAAGCAGGUUCAUUUUUCCUGUUUAAGGCGCUAUGAAACUAUAGAAAUUUUGCUAGCUAGUGUUUGCAAUAUUUUGUUAUGUAUGCAUAAUCCCAUAGAUAGUAAGCAGGUGUCAUAUCACAAUGUUUAUAUGGUAAGGGGUUACGAUUGGGUUUCUUAUUGCACAUGUUGCCUGCUCUGCUUGAUAUUUCUUUUUUUCUGUCAUUUUCAGUGGUUAAUCAAUCCUUUUUCUGCAGAAUAAUGUUGUACAUAUUGUAGCUGCUGUGGUGUGAUUAUAUAAUUUAGCAGAAUGGUUUGUUAAUUUAGCUGAUAAUCCUUUUUGGAAAUUGAAAAAUGUAACAACAAUAAGGGAACUUGUUCAUGACGUGCUAGAUUCUAUCCCACAUCGACACUAUCAGUGCCUCCAAUUCAGUAUAUAAAUUUCAUUUCCUUAUCCCACGAUCGCCGAGCUCGGUAACGUGGGCUUUCACCCAAGUGGGGGGCAGGGGCAUGGUCUCGGUUGCUGGCAGCACAAAAAAUUCCACAUUCCACAUUCCACGAUCUAAAAAAUAAAAAUCAAUGAAUUAAAAAAAAACAUUGCAGCAACUGGGACCAUUCCCUUUUCUUCAUUUUUCCUGUGUAAGCCACCAAUAAACUAUAGAAAUUUAGCUAGCUAGCGUUUGAAAUAUUUUUGUAGGUGUGCAUAAUCCCAUAGAUAGCAAGCGUCAUAUCAAAAUGUUUAUAUGGUAAGGGGUUACGAUUAGGUUUCUUGUUGUUUAUAUUGUCUGCUCUGUUUGAUAUUUCUUUUUUCUAUCAUUUUUAGUGGUUAAUCAAUACUUUUUCUGUUGAAUAAUGUUGUAUGUGUUGUAGCUGCUGUGGGGUGAUUGUCUAACUUAAUAGAAUGGUUUGUUAAUUCAGCUGAUAAUCCUUUUCGGAAAUUGAAAAAUGUAAUGACAAUAACGGAAGUAGUUCAUGACUUGCUAGAUUCUAUCCCACAUCGACAUCAUCAGUGGCUCCAAUUUGGUAUAUAAAGUUCAUUUCCUUAUCCUACGAAUGCUAGGCUCGGUAAUGUGGGUUUGUACCCCAAGUGGGGGCAUUAAGGGUAUGGAAUCAAUUGCUUGCAACCCAAAAAAAUUCCACAUUCCACUAUCUGAAAAAUAGAAAUGAAUGAAUUCAAAAAUGUUGCAGCUGGUUGGACCAUUACCUCCUUCAUUUUUGCUGUUUAAGGCACAAUGAAACUGUAGAAAUUUAGCUAGCUAGCGUUUGCAAUGUUUUUGUAUGUGUACAUAAUCCCAUAGAUAGCAAGCAGGUUCAUUUUUCCUAUUUAAGCCUAUUUAAGCCACAAGGAAACUACAGAAAUUUGGCUAGCUAGUGUUUGCAAUAUUUUUGUAUGUAUACAUAAUCCCAUAGAUAGUAAGCAGGCGUCAUAUCACAAUGUUUAUAAGGUAAAGGGUUAUGAUUAGGUUUCUUAUUGUUUAUGUUGUCUGCUUUGUUUGAUAUUUCUUUUUUUUCUGUCAUAUUCGGUGGUUAAUCAAUACUUUUUCUGCUGAAUAAUGUUGUACAUAUUGUAGCUGCUGUGGAGUGAUUAUAUAAUUUACCAGAAUGGUUUGUUAAUUUAGCUGAUAAUCCAUUUUGGAAAUUGAAAAAUGUAACGACAAUAAGGGAACUAGUUCAUGACCUGCUAGAUUCUAUCCCACAUCGACGCAACCAGUGCCUCCAAUUCAGUAUAUAAAGUUCAUUUCCUUAUCCCACGAUCGCCGAGCUCGGCAAUGUGAGCUUUCACCCAAGUGGGGGGCAAGGGCAUGGACUCAGUUGCUGGCAGCCCAAAAAAAUUCCACAUUCGACGUUCCACGAUUUAAAAAAUAAAAAUCAAUGAAUUAAAAAAACGUUGCAGCAACUGGGACCAUUCCCUUUUCUUCAUUUUUCCUGUUUAAGCCACAAUUAAACUAUAGAAAUUUAGCUAGCUUGCGCUUGCAAUAUUUUUGUAUGUGUACAUAAUCCUAUAGAUAGCAAGAGUCAUAUCACAAUGUUUAUAUGGUAAGGGGUUACAAUUAGGUUUCUUAUUGUUUGUAUUGUCUGCUCUGUCUGAUAUUUCUUUUUUUAAUCAUUUUCAGUAGUUAAUCAAUACUUUUUCUGUUGAAUAAUGUUGUACGUGUUGUAGCUGCUGUGGAGUGAUUGUCUAACUUGACAGAAUGGUUUGUUAAUUUAGCUGAUAAUCCUUUUUCGAAAUUAAAAAAUGUAAUGACAAUAACGGAAGUGGUUCAUGACUUGCUAGAUUCUAUCCCACAUCGGCAUCAUCAGUGGCUCCAAUUUGGUAUUUAAAGUUCAUUUCCUUAUCCUUCAAUCGCCGGGCUCAGUAACGUGGGCUUGUCACCUGAGUGGGGGCAUUAAGGGUAUGGAAUCAGUUGCUUGCAACCCAAAAAAAUUCCACAUUCCACUAUCGAAAAAUAGAAAUGAAUGAAUUCAAAAAUGUUGCGGCAACUGGGACCAUUCCCUUUUCUUCAUUUUUCCUGUUUAAGCCAGAAUGAAACUAUAGAAAUUUAGCUAGCUAGCGUUUGCAAUAUUUUUGUACGUGCUCAUAGUCCAAUAGAUAGCAAGCAGGUUCAUUUUUCCUGUUUAAGCUACAAUGAAACUAUAGAAAUUUAGCUAGCUAGUGUUUGCAAUAUUUUGGUAUGUAUGCAUAAUCCCAUAGAUAGUAAGCAGGUGUCAUAUCACAAUGUUUAUAUGGUAAGGGGUUACGAUUGGGUUCUUAUUGCACAUGUUGUCUGCUCUGCUUGAUAUUUCUUUUUUUCUGUCAUUUUCAGUGGAAUCAACACUUUUUUUGUUGAAUAAUAUUGUCAUAUUGUAGCUGCUGUGGAGUGAUUAUAUAAUUUACCAGAAUGGUUUGUUAAUUUAGCUGAUAAUCCUUUUUGGAAAUUGAAAAAUGUGACAACAAUUAGGGAACUAGUUCAUGACUUGCUAGAUUCUAUCCCACAUCAACGCUAUCAGUGCCUCCAAUUCAGUAUAUAAAGUUCAUUUCCUUAUCCCAUGAUCGCCGAGCUCGAUAACGUGGGCUUUCACCCAAGUGGGGGGCAAGGGCAUGGACUUGGUUGCUGGCAGCCCAAAAAAAUUCCACAUUCCACUAUGUAAAAAAUAGAAACGAUGAAUUAAAAAAAUGUUGCCGCAACUGGGACCAUUCCCUUUUCUUCGUUUUUCCUGUUUAAGCAUAAAAAAAACUAUAGAAAUUUAGCUAGCUGGCAUUUGCAAUAUUUUUGUAUGUGUACAUGAUCACAUAGAUAGCAAGCCGGUGUCAUAUCACAAUGUUUAUAUGGUAUGGGGUUGCGAUUAGGUUUCUUAUUGUUUGUGUUGUCUGCUCUGUUUGAUAUUUAUUGAUUUUUUCUAUCAUUUUAAGUGGUUAAUCAAUACUUUUUCUGUUGAAUAAUGUUGUAUGUACAUGUUGUAGCUGCUGUGAAGUGAUUAUCUAAUCUAACAGAAUGGUUGUUAAUUUAGCUGAUAAUCCUUUUUGGAAAUUGAAAAAUGUAAUGACAAUAACAGAAGCAAUUCAUGACCUGCUAGAUUCUAUCCCAUAUCGACAUUAUCAAUGCCUCCAAUUCAGUAUAUAAAAUUCAUUUCCUUAACCUACGAUCGCCGGGCUUGGUAAUGUGGGCUUGUCACCUGAGUGGGGGCAUUAAGGGUAUGGAAUCAGUUGCUUGCAACCCAAAAAACUCCACAUUCCACUAUCUAAAAAAUAGAAAUGAAUAAAUCAAAAAUUGUUGCAGCAACUGGGACCAUUCCCUUUUCCUCAUUUUUCCUUUUUAAGUCUCAAAGAAGCUAUUGAAAUUUAGCUAGCUAGCUGAGAAGUGUUUUGGGAAAUCCUAGCUCCAUUCUGUUGUUUUAAUUGCUAUUAGGGGCAAUCCCCUAAUUUGUUUCUUUCUGAUCCUAGUGGUUGAUAUGCUCAUCUUCAGGGAGAUUUUAAAGUGCAAGAGGAUAAAAAGCAUAGGGCAAAGUUUCAAUCUUUAGGAAAUUCUGAGAAGAAGCUCCAAUUCUUUUCAGCUCGUCAAAUAGCAUGCCGCUUACUCGGUAGUAGAGGAUAUCUCUGUCAGAAGGUACAUCUGUUAUUUCUUUUUUCUCAUAGUGAUGGUAAGUUGGAGAACCAACUAUUGUCUCGGUGUUCCUUCCCAUAACCCGUAAAUUGUCUCUGCAUUUCAUCUGUGCUCAGUUGCAAAUUCAGUCUUUUCCUGUCUGUCUAAUUGCUUAGUGCUGGCUUCCCAUGGAAGAUUGCAUGUGUUCAAGACUUCUGCCUUUUCCCCUUUGGCAUCGGAUACGUUUUUGGUUGUAUAUGCAUCCAAAGGUUCAUGUUCUUCUCGUUUUCAUUUUCUUUCCCUAGUUACAUAUAUGCAUUACAUGAGGAUCAGCUAAGGACUUUAUUGUUCUUCUGUAGGAUUUUUUACGACAGAACAACACGGGAAAGUUGUUAUGUCAAGUGUUUGGCACCCAUGCUGCAACUUUGUGUCUCUUUGGCAUUUCUGAACUUGAAGAAAUCAUGUGGAGUGCAUUGAACUUUUCAGGUUAAAUCAUGGUUUAAUUGGUAAUAUUUUGAAGAUGCAUCUCCUCGUCUUUGAUUCACUAUGUUGUACUAGCAUUAGAUCUGUAAGGCAUGAGUGUCAAAGCCAUGACUAUUUAAAUGCACAAUGGUCUUUGUAGUUCAUUUUUUGACUUCGUAGUUUGCUCUACAUGUUCGACUUCCUACUGCAAACACUUCACAUUGUUGAAACUGCUUGAUUUCUUCUGCAUGCAACUGACAAUCUCUGAAAACUUUCUUUUCCCAAUAAUUAUUGUAAGGCUCACCUUUGUUUACAAUCAUAAUAGACCUUGUAUUUUCUGAUUCCACUCCCUUGAGCCUCAAUUAAUUUUUACCUCCUUAAAAAAAUAAAUUAGCAAAGAGUUUGUGGCAAAAUUUGUUGCUAUAAAAGUUUGACAGCUAAAGUUGCUUUGUGAAAAACCUAUAGGAAUAAUCAACUAAGUGGAGCCUCAGAUGAGCAACAGAAAGAGGAACAGAUUAUUAAUUAAAUAAUUUAUUAUGCAUGCCUACUGGGUAGUAUACAACUCUGGGAUAUUUGAGGGAAAAUUGGAAUUCCAUCCUUUUUUUUUAACUCAAUUAACUUGAGAAGUUGAGUCUAAUUAACUCGUAUAGAUCACGCAGCUGAUUGUAACAAAUUGAGUUUGAGAAGGUAUGCACAGUAUUCUGAUGGAACAUCGGUUACUUUCUCUGUAAUCUGAGAUACCAUUUCCCAAUUUGAAAGGAUUACAUCCUUACUUCUGCAGAAGGGAAUAUAUAUUUAGUGAUAAUUGGGAUUCAUUUCGUAUAAAACUAACUGGUUGAAUUUGAUCUCUUUAACGUAAUUGAAUAAGGUGUAAAAGACGGAGAUCUGGAGAUGAAAUCUUGCUACAAUUAAAAUUGUUAUGCCAUGUUUUUGACUUUCUAAUAUAACCUAGAAUUACGUCAAAGCUAUGUGGGACUAAGGUCUUGGCCAAUUUAAUGGAUUAUUUAGGUAUGAGAAAUAGACUUAGCUAAAACAACUACAGUAUAUGAAAUAGCCUAUUAUGCUGUUUUUCGCAUUAUUAUUUGUUAUGAAUAAUGCCAGUUUUUGAGGUUAAUGCAUAUCCAUGUUUAGUUUCAUGUUCAUUUGCUACUUUAAGACUUUAAAGUUUAUGCCUGUGAGUUUCUGAAGUGCGUUGUGUAUUCUUCAGGGAGAAGAAAUGUUUGGUGUCUCUACCCUAAUAAGAAUGCUAUGCCGAUGUCUGUUCAGGACACAUUCAUUCAAAAUUCCUCCAGGGAUCAUCAGUCUGAACAGAAUUCGGUAAUCCUUCUCUAGUCGCAUGAAUACAGAAUAAGAGUGAAUUUCUUGUAUUUUUUUUGGUUGUCAAAUCUUGAUUGGUUCAAAACAUAGUAGAACCUUCAUUAAGUUUGCGAUCUACUAAUUAACAAAUUAAGUUUGUGAUCUUUAGUUUUAAGAUUGCAUUUAACAUGGUAUGUUCUUCUUCUCCACAAAAUGCAUCAAAAAAAAAAACAAAUUGAAAUGAUUUUCAGCUCAAGUCUCAGGCUUAAGGUUGAUUGAUUAAGCCUCUGGACAAAAAAAUCAUUUCUCAUAUUCCUCAUAUGAAACAUGUUAUCCUUGUUCUCAAUCAUUUCCUGCUUUAAAAAAAAAUUAAUUUAUGAGUUUUGUAUCAUUGUAAUUUUUUUUUUCUGGUCCUUUGCUGAUUUGAUGCACAUAAAUAGAAAUUUGGUGCUGAACAAAAAUUGUUCUAGCUGACUGUGCAAGUUGGAAUGUGAAAGUUUUAUGUGACUCUAGGUUUGGAACUGCAUAGGUGCAUGAAGUACAGUAUUGUGUAAUUAGUUGGUUACAUUAGCUCAUUGAAGCAAUUUAAACUUUUGGAGAGGAGAAUAAAUUGAUUUAUCUUAAGAAAUUUGAUGUUGAUGAACAAAAGAUGAUUUUACAGUAAAUGGUGGUCUACUUCAUGAAUACUACAUGUUAUUCAAUUUAACUGUUUACUAUACUUGCAACCUUGAAUUCAACUGAAUAUUUUCAUGAAAUUUUCUGAAGCUACAGAAGUGCUCAAUAUCAAGAAUCUUCGAACCGAGUACAUUUUUUAGAGUCCUUGUCGGUAAAUGUUCUGUUUGUUUAGGAUAUACCUAUCGUAAGUGUCACAUGAGAUAAUAACAUCAUAAACUUAAGAAAAUAUGCUCAAGUUAUAUCAGAAAAUUAUAACAUUAUAAGAGAAGGCGACAUCUUGACACAAUGCUCUGUAAUAGUGUACUGUUUUGGCAUUGUAAACAGUUAUUUGAUUUAGGCUCUGAAGUUUUCAAUUGUAGUUAUCCCAUAGAGUUAGUAAAAAUUUUACAUGAUGAUAGGAAGGGAACUCCCGAGAACUCAUAUGUAUAUUUACUGGGUUCUUCCCUACUUUUGAAUUAUAUUAAAGCUUACCAUUUCCCCAAAAAAAAGUUAUGUGAUUUAAACUCUCGCAAAUGGAUUAUGGAUGCCUAUCUUUUUGAGGUUUUACGCAUCUUUGGUCAUAGGGAGGAGAUGGAGAGGAUUAAUUGAGUGCUACAUUCUGUUUCUGUUGGAUUAGCACGAAAUUUAGAUAUAAAGAAGCAUGAAUAUCAUUCAGGGCUGACGUCCUCAAAUUUGUCGAAUUAGUUGAGCCGACAGAAUUAAGUAAUGCAGUAUAUGUGCAAGAUAUUCAGAUUUCCACAUUGGAGCUUGGUAUUUGAUCAGUCCCCUAAUUUUAGUUCAUGGUUUAAUUCCAAAAGAUUCAAUUUUCUAUUCCUCAAAAAAUGGAGUGUCAAGCCCUGACUAGUUUGGGUGGACAAAAGUGGAUUGGUAAGUUGAAGAUUCUACUUAUAUGUGUCUAUGAAUUCCUGCCCUCACACGCAUUGAAUGCUUAUAGCCCCUUUAUCUGUGUGUUCAGGUAGCUUAAACUUUAGCCCAUACAAAGAAGGCUGGCUUUGUUUAAAAACGUUAAUCUUCAAUUCUUCUGACUCUUCUAGGAUAUUGAUUUGAAGGUUGUGUGACUAUGCAGGUACUUGGAGAUGAAAGAAUGAAUUUUAUUUUGAUUGAUGGUACAUGGAGCAAUUCCCAAGCAAUGUUCAAGCGUUUAAAGGUAAACCAGAAAUACAAUUGGGAUCUGACCUCCUUUUAUUUUCUAUUACACGUCCAUGGGGCUAUGACUAAGCAUUCUUGUCUCAGAUGGGAGACAAGAAAAAGGAAAAGAGGAAAGAAAUCUAGUGGAGCAACCACAAGUUCAUUGUCUUGUAGGUUAUAUAUUUUUCUUGAGUUAAGUUAUACAGAUAUAAGCAUUUGCGUUUUCACUUUGAAAUGGAAAGGUUCCUAGUAAAUAGUUCAUUUACAACAACAGUAAGAAUUAAACGCUUUGACAUCUGGAAGUGCCCUGAAACUCUUCUGCAAUAUGUAGUUUUGAAAUCCCAUCAUUCCUUUGGUGGACAUAAAUGGAUAGAGGUUAUGAAUUACCUUCUAAGUAAGCAAAUUUGUUUCCUGUUACACCAGUCAAGUUAUAAAUACGACGCAAGCAAGUACACAUGAAAUGUUGAAUCUUACAAGAAAGAAAAGUAGUUCUUCUCUGAAUGAAUUAGUUACAAGUUUUUGUCAUGCUUCUCUUCAAUACAUAUAUAUCUUCAUUUUUGUUGUGGAUAUACUUUGUGGAUUUUGUAGAUUGUAUCACACUCGACUGGCUUCGCUUGUUUGUUUUGUAAUACCCAAUGUAUAUUUACGAAUCUGACUCUUGUUUUCAAGUUAUUGACACAUGCGGUAUUUGAACUAUGCCUAAGAGUGUUUAUGGGUAUCAAAUAUCAGACACAUCUCAAGCAAAAAAUCAGUUUGAGGAUUGUGUUUUUCCAAUUUCAUGCUGCAUUGCAAAAGAUGAGUGUCGUAUGGAUCAGUCUAGUGAUGUAAUAGUGUAUCCUACUCAACAUUUACCUUGAACAUUGAUGUGCAGGAUAAAGCACAGGUAGUUUGGGGAGAAGACCUUCCUUGCAUCUCUCUGAAUGCAGGGGUAUCUCUAAUGCACAAACUGAGGCAAGAUUCUUCAUGAAAAUGCUCAUCUCUUGAUAUAUUUGACUUGCAUGCUUUAAUAGUUUAUUCUUAUUUGCCAAUUUAAUGCCACCGCGAUUAAGGUUCAAUUUCUUUCUUUGUCUGAGAGCAGACCGCAACCCUCAUGGGACCGUACCUGCACAGCAGCAGCAGCAGUUGGUCUCCUUUAUGAGCUUCAUCUUGUUCCUGAGUUCAGCUCUCAUGGACUGGAUAGUCAGGCUGAAGCUAUCGAAGAUGCUUUAGAGAUUCUGUUUGAAUCACUUACAGCUCGAAGACUUCGUAUGGGGAGGUCCAUCAGCCGUAAGGAGAGACAUUACAGCAACCUCUGCUAGAAACAAGCAUUUCUUCCACAAUUUUGGCGGAGACUUUUUUCCUUCAAUUGAGGCAGCGCCUGCAUACUAACUGAUUAGGUUAGAAGAGGUGAGAUCCUUGCUAAUUUCUAGUAUUACAGAAAGGAAAUACAAAGUGACUGAGAUCAAAGAACUUUGGUGGCCGGGCUCUGAUUUUAUCAGACUAUACAGAUUCAGAUUUUUUUGCACAAUGUUUUGAUGCUGAAAUUUCAGACACGUUUUUGGACAUAUGCCAGAUGGUUGUGAUGCAAUGCUAAGUACCUGGACGCAAAGCGGAUGAUCGAAAAAAUACGGUAUUCGCUUUUCCCACAUUUUGAACUUGAAAGCAAGCUAUUUAUUAUGCUUUGAUGUCUUAAGAGGAACCAUUUUGCUUGUAUGUAUAAUGUAUUUCAAUUCUGAACUCACUGAUGUACGUUUUCGUGAUUAUAUCUCAAGAAUUUAGUUUCUUGAACUAGUCCUUUAUUUUGCUGUCCUGCUGCUCUUAGUCUUACGGAUUAAAAGACUGAUAGACAGAAUUAAUGUAUUAUUGGCUCUGAAUAAUAAAGUGAAGUUAAUUAUGGAGUUUGGGUUACAGAUGGAUGGAAGAAAUGGUGGCCUGUGUUUCCUUUCAUUAUCAAACUGUUUGUUAACAAGCGAGACAAAAUAGUUCAUGUAUGCUAAAAGUUCAGUGGAGUUUAUAUCCAAAUUUUGCCUAUGCAUUGGGGUAUCUUGUGAAGUUUGCCAGAUGUGCACCAAAAAGUGGUAAAAUGACAACAUAUAAAUGUCAAUUGAUACAAAAAUUUAGGAUCAAAUUAUGAUUAAUGGAUACUAAUACUAGUGUAGGGAUGAAUAAGGAAAUGAAAACUGUCCAAUAAUACAUGAUCAGUAUAAUGUUGUCCACUACUAUGUUUUUAGGAAAUUAAUCGAAGUUAUUUAUAAAAUUGGGAUGGUGUAUUAAUACAAACAAACUUCAUUACCAUGAAUAUCAUCUACCUUAAAACUUUCGCUAUGCAUUCGUCUAACAAUUCACCACCAUCACCUCUUAUUAACCUUGAAUUGCACCAUUAAUUUAUUUCAAUUUGAGGUUGAUUGGGAGAAGGGAUUGGUUAGCUCGUUCGAAAAGAAGGGAUCUAAGUGAAAGAUUGCGAAUUCAAGUCCUUCCACUUACACUAAAGAAAGAUAAAAUUGAGGAUAAUAAGCAUAAGAACGUAGAAGGAUAACAAAGUAUAUAAUAAAAGUUGAAAUUUUGUGAUGCAUUGGUACAAAUUUGUAUUAGCACAAGACUUGCAUAGAGUUUCGAAAUUAAACUUUCAAACUAAGGCUAAUGGGCAUAAGAUAAUUCUAAAAUAUGCCUAAUUUAUCAUCAAUCAUGCAUACUAAUAAUAAAAGAACUUGUAUAAAAUGUAUUGAAAUUAUAUAUUUAUGUGACACUACUAUAAGCUGUUUACCUAUAUAAGAAUUGCCGAAACGAAUAUCAAAUUGAGGUUAAAAAAUAUAUACAUAAUUUAUUGUAACUGAUGCAUAAAAGAGUGAUGCAAAAAUGGAUUGAAAAUAUUAUAAACUGGCACGAAAAUCAAAAUGUCAAUAUGAUCCUUGUUUAGAAGUUUUUCACCAAAUAAAGCAAAAGAGGGAUUCCCCACGUAUCCAACAACUAAUAUACUUCUUUGCUACUGCCAAACAAGGUUCCUCCUCCAUCCAUCCAUUCAUCCCCUUCCAUCCCUUCUCCGCUUCUCUCUCUUCCAUUUUCCUGCCAUUUUUUUACUUUCCACAAAAAUGACACCCCUACAGAUGCAGGCAGCUGCCACAUUCCAACAUUUUCUCGUCUCUUUCUUUUUCACCAUUUUCAUAACAAGACUGGACAAAACUGAUCAUUGAAAAGAAGAGAAACAAUGGGGUCUAAUCCAUCUCUAAUGUUGUUUCUCUUCUUUCUUCUUGUUGGAUUGGCCUCUUCAUCCUACAUUUCAAGUGAGAAUUGUUAUGGCAUUUAUGUGUACCAUGUUGAUUUUUUUUUUUCUAAUCUAAUUUCUGUUUAAUCUAUCUGAAACUUUCGUUCUAUGUUAGAUCAUGCAUUGGAGCCUAGCGGAUUGAGAGGUCGUACCCUUCUUCAAGCAAAAGCAUGUGAGAUUCUUUCUCUUCUUUAUUCAUUUUUGCGUCCUGGAUAUUGUUGGGAAUGAAGAAAUAAAUUAAGUUUCAAAAUCAUAUUCAUCUUUGCCACAAUUUCAUGGUUGUUCCUUGUGAGGGCAUCCUUGAUUAAAUUUUUUUUUUUUGACAUCUUAAAAUUUAGAUUUCUGAAUCCCAAAAUUAUUCCUUUGUUAUAUCCUUCUGAAUGUUAGUUAAAUCUACAGAAUUUCUUAGUCCUCCUAAAUUAUGAACAAUAAAGCUAAUACUCCGACAUGUUAUCCAUGGAUUUAGCUUCAAUCUUGCAUUUCUUUCACUUAGGUAAAUCAUUCCAACAAAUUAACUCAUAUGCUGCCUACAUUCUUUUCAUUAUUUAUGUUUAAAAGAAUCCAACUAGGUUUGGUUACAUGUGGAGAAACAAUUAAGUUUAUGUUAAAAAAAUUCAUAAUAUCAGAAAAAAAAAUUCAUAAGCAUAUGAAUGGAGUUAACUGCAUGAACAGAAAAAUUACCAUUUUAGUGAUCUAUCCAAGUUUCUUCGAGAUUGACAUAAUUCAAGUUGUUUUUCCGUGCCUAAAGAACCAUAGGUGGUCAUUUCUACAUGCCCUUAUCAGGAAAACAAAAGAGAAAAGGAAAGUUUAAUUUGAUAGAUAAGCCUUCCAUUCUACAAGAAUUAUUGAACACUGAAAAUUCUUGGAAAAUGUAUGCUAAAAGUUUCUGCAAUCGUGAAACUUUUCAGCUUGCCCUGUAAACUUUGAAGCUCAGAACUACACAAUCAUCACUAGCCAAUGCAAAGGGCCGAAUUACUCUCCAAAACUCUGCUGCGAUGCCUUCAAGGAAUUCGCCUGCCCUUUUGCUGAUCAAGUGAAUGACAUGAAAAACGAUUGUGCAUCAACCAUGUUCAGUUACAUUAACAUGUAUGGACAUUAUCCUCCUGGACUUUUUGCGAAUUUUUGCAAGGAUGGCGCCCAGGGCCUUGAAUGUGCAUCUGCAGAAGCAGAAAGUCCCAAGAAAAAUGGGGCGCUGAAAACUGCUCAAUCAACUGUGCUGGUGCUGGCAGCUGGUUUCUUGACGUUUUUGUUGAAUGCCUUCUAAAACUCAAGAACAGAAAUCGAAAAUGCGCACCUUCUAAUUACUAGUUCAGACAUUGAUAUCCUCCGAGUUUAUAUAUAAGUAAUAUUUAUCUUGAGAUUGUAACGUUUUUUGUGCUCUGAUCAUUCUCUUGGACAAUAUUGAGCCUAAUUCGUUCUGCUAGAAGCAUAUGGUUCUUCAGAUUUUUGAAUGACAUGCUAUUUUUGAUGCCUUAUGUGAUCUCUAAUGACAAACACAAAUUCUAGUGUUUUCUUUAAUAUUAAAUUAAUUAAACAAUUUAGUAGAUGAGGGACAGUGGUACAAUUAUAUUAUCAUUUCUCUCUUCUAAUAUCACUUUUUAAUUGUUUGUUGGAUCUAAAUGUUAUAAAAUAAUAAAUUUUAAGGGAGGUUAAUAUAAUUUUUAAAACUUGAAGGGAGGGCAGUGAAAUAGUCAAAAACCUCAAGGGAGGUUCCCUCUCUUUUGAACAAAACAAAAAUCUCAAGUUUUUCCUUUUUUUUCCUCUCUUGAACAAAACAAAAAUCAUCAAAAAAUUAAAAACUGUAUGUAGUCUUCAAGCUAAACAUACAAAGAUGAAAUUAAAAAUUUGGCUUCUCAUUUUUGCAUUGAGAUUAUAAUUCCCUCCCAGCCAAAAUCCUUUUUUUAAAAAAAAGAAAAUUUUAAGGCCGUCCAAAUAGCAUAAAAUUUAGAGCCGAUCGUCCCCGUCACAAUUCAUUCACCAGCAACUUGCGCCAGCCACCGCCGUUAUUAGUCACCGUCCCUCCAAUCACGUCAAGGAAGCAAACAAAAAUGUUACUAUAACCUAUUAUUUUCAAACUUCUUCUCCCACUUGAUUCUUGAUUUUUCUUUCUCUCUAUUUUUUUUUCCCUUUCGUGAUUAAAUUUCAUUAUGUAGUAAUUAUUACAGACAAUUAAAUAUUCGAGGAAUAUUGUUGCUCAAUGCAUUUACUUUAUUUGAUUGUGUAAUUCAUUAUAGGUUCUAUGUAUAUGUUUGUCGAUUUUAUAGUUGCAACUUCUUUUUUUUUUUCUUUUUUGUUUUAAGUGAAAAGUUUUGAUUUCAAACAUCUCAACUUAUCGUCUCUUUCGACUCAUUAUCUGACUCAAUUCUCCAUUUAUAUCAUGUUAAGGCCACUAUUGUAUAGGCUAUAUAUAACUUAUCAGUAGUUAUGAUUAAGUUCGGAACAUGAACAUAAUAUGUCAAGUUGUAAAACAAAAAUACUUGUCCAGUUGAAUUUCAGAGAAAAUUAAGUCUAAGGUGACAUUUGUUACAUAAAUAAAAAAUUUUGGCUUUACAGAAUUUAUUUCCACAAUAUCUAUAGCCAAAGAACAAGGAAAAAAACAAGUUGCAAUUGUAAUUUUAAUUAGUUAAUCCAAUUGGCUGAUCACGCACACAACAUAUGGCUCUUAAAUUUCCCAAACAUGAUGAUUUCUCCAACUAAUGCUACUUAUUGUAAUUCCUUCAGGGUGCAAGAGCAUGAGUGUUGCCUGUGUUGUUAGCUAUGCCAUCUUGAUCUAUUAGUAACAGAUAACAUGUUAUGCAGGUCAUUGAUGGUUUCUUGAUUCUUUUAGUACAUUGGUCGGACUAGGAAAAGGGAGAGGGAUUGAGAAGGUAUCAGACAGAAAAUCCCAGUAAAGCAAACAGCAAAAGUUCCUUAAAGCAACAUCAUUGCUCACAAAACAACAGCCAUGAAAGUUCAACCUCUGUCCCCCUAAACGAGGAAAAUGAAGACAUAAUGUGGACAACAAACAAAAUUACGCAUAUACUAUUGGCUGUGGCCAAUGCCAGUUAAAGAAUCGUGUCAGCGUAUCAUUGGUAGGUUCAAUAUAUAAUUUCUUGGAUGAAAGGUGUUUGGCGAAUAAAUUAUUUCACUGUUUUACCCAUCUUUCUGUCUCAUGAUUUCGAGUCAAGUUGAAAAUUUUGACAAAUUUGUGUGUGUGGUUGCACGUACAAUGACAGGUCUUUGUCUUUCUGACUCCCAACCAAGUCAUCUUGAAUAAUUUACCUAUGUUCCAUUCAACCUCAAUUGAUGCCAUUGAUCUCUUUCUUGAUUUUUUUGUUCAUGUUUUGGGCCUUUCCUUCGACCUAAGGUGCUUGGAUUUGUCGGUGUUUGGCGGAUAUUUUAGUGUAGCAUCAGAAAGUAUAUUAUAUGCCAGCUAUGGAUGUGCUAAUGAGGCUUCCCAAUUAGAGAUUCUUCAAAUUAAAUGCAAGUGUCUCACUUCUUUUAUCAUAGCUACAAUGACAGAUUAGUCAGAUUUUAAGUGCAUACUUGAUCAUAUGCCAAAAAUGAAGGGUGAUAUACCACCCUAACGUACUACAAUGACAGUUGGAAAGGUUUUCUGAAACAACAACACGAUAUAAUACUUUGAAUAAAUCUUAUAUACACUGAUAAUGUAUACACUAUCACGAUUGGAUACAUGAUAUAUAUGAAAAUUUUGAAUUUCAAUUCAAAUUUGAAUUAUGUGUCAUGCAUUCAACGGUGAAAGUGUAUAUACUAUCAGCGUGUAGAAAAUUAGUUCUACUACUUUUGUGAUGUACUAUAUGUGAAAUAAAAAAAUAAAUAAAAACAUAAAAGGUAAAUUAAAAAACGUAUAUAUGAUGCAAUCGAAUAAUGUCUUCUAAAUCAUAUGUAAUACAGGGGAAUUGGAGUCUGAAAUGAGAACAUAAUUGAAUUUGGAACAAUGAUACCACAGCCUUGAUUGUCGGUGUUCGGUGGAUAUUUUAGUGUAGCAUCAGAAAGUAUAUUAUAUGCCAGCUAUAGAUGUGCUCAUAAGGCUUGCCAAUUAGAGAUUCUUCAGAUUAAACGCAAGUGUCACACAUCUUUUAUCAUAGCUACAAUGACAGAUUAGUCAGAUUUUAAGUGCAUACUUAGUCAUAUGCCAAAAAUGAAGCGUGACAUAUCACCUAAUGUACUACAAUGACAGUAGAUAGUAUGUUUGGAAAGAGGAUUAUUUGGAAAAGUUUUUUGAAACAACAAUAUAAUAUUUUGAGUAAAUCUUAUAUACGCUAAUAGUGCGGACACUAUCAUGAUUGAAUACACUACAUAUAUAUAAAAAUUGAGUUUCAAAUUCAAAUUCAAAUUCAAAUUAUAUGUCUGACAUCCAAUAAUGAAAGUGUAUACACUAUCAGUGUAUAAAAGAUUAAUUCUACUACUUUUGUGAUAGUGUAUGUGAGAUAAAAAAAAUAAAUUAAAAAACGUGCAUAUGAUGCAAUCAAAUAAUGUCUUGUAAAUCAUCUGUAAUACAGGGGAUUUGGAGUCUGAAAUGAUAACAUAAUUGAAUUUGGAACAAUGAUACCACAGCCCUGAUUGCGGAAUAUGUUUGCUGCCUUUCCCAGAUGCUGAGAAUAUCCCCAUACAAGAAGACGAAAGGGCAUUCUACAGUUGCAUCCAAAUCUAAACAUGACUUUUGCAGAAAAGUGUGCGGGAACAGAUCUCAAACUACAUAUUCACCUGCAUAACAAGAUGGCGUAGGGCUUCUGCAAAAUGUUUUAUAUGUCAUAGUACAACUCAUCAUUAAUUUUUUUUAAAAUCAUAAUAAGUACGUCAAAUUAUUGUAGUCCAACGGUGUAUUAAGGUCAAUAAUCUCUGCUGAUUAAACAAAUAGUGAUGCAUCACCGUAAUCACAUUUAUAAUGCUAUCAUCCUGUCCACAUCCUGUCCAUAACCAUCAAACAUUUUUCCCCUAGGACAAGUCUAUUAAAUAAUAUUGAAUGUCCUGAGUAUUUGUACCGGUUGUUGAGCCAAUAAUUACUGCUAGAACUAGUAUAAACAGUAGUAUAAAAGUGCACAAAAUUGAAGAAAAGAGAAAGUAUAAAUGGGGCAAUAUUACUAAUAUUUCAAUCAAUUUGCCAGAACUAGCUGAUUACAAUACAAGCAGAGACAGCAAUAUCAUGAGAAAAGCCCACCAGUUGCAACAAAACCUUAACAAAGAAACCAUCAAUUUUUGUUUUCUUUUUCCUUCAUAGUCAGCCCCACCCAAAAAAAAAAAGGGAAGAGAAAGAAGAAACAGAGAGUUGUUCUGUUUUUCUUCCCAUUGUCUAUGCUGUGAUUCCGAAAAACAUCAUACUAAUACCCAUGGUUUUUCAAGAAUUCAAGUUAGAGAUGGAUUGGAAUCAGGGCUUCUUUUUAUCUGUGAGCAGUAACCAGAGUCUCUAUGAACCUCAACCCAUCAAACCUUGGCGCAAAUUUAUCUGAAGAAGUUGUUGUUUGUGAUGCAGAUUUCUUCUCUUUUUUCUUGCUCGAAACAUUAAGAUCCUGGCAAGAAUGAAUCAAUUCUUCGUCAGCUAAAAAAAUUUAAGCAAAUCAAGCAAAGUUAACGUUCAUUCAUUACAUAGAAGACUAUAUUCACCUCCUAACCUUGAAAAACUAGGGAGAAAAAACAGGAUAAACAAGUAAAAAGAGUCGACUUCCAACAAGAAAAAACGUGGGAUUUCACAAAGUCUUCUCAUCUCCUUAAUUUCCAAGAAAGAAGAUUUUCUUGUGCAAGAAUGAGAGGGACUCGAGUCACAUGGAAAACGAAAGUAUAGGAAAAAGAAAGAGUAGUAAAGGACUACCAUAUACCUCAUGAGGGAUGUUGGUCUUGGAUGAAGAGGAGGAAGAAACAGAGUAAGCUGAUGCAGAAGCUGCAGCCAUGGAAGCUGCUACAAUUCCUGAUUUCUUCAUGAUUUCUUGAUGGCGCAAAAAAAGAAAAUUAAGCCUGCAGGCUGCAGCUGGCUUUUUGAUUUGUAGGGUUGGAAAAUCAGAUUUUACUUUUUAUUUUCUUGGGAUUACUUCGGAGUAUGGAAAUUGGGAUGAGGGGAAUGGGGACAUGGGCCGCCAUUUAUAGUGGGAACUCGCAACUUGGAAGGGCGACUUGGUCCGCUUUUGGUCAGUGCUAGAAUUUGGACGCCGUAACCACAGCUGCUUGCCCCACACCCGGCACUUAAGAUUACUUUUCUAGCCUUGGACCAAUUUCCCACCUUUGUUUAACAUUUUUUGACGCGGGUUUAUAUUAGUUUGUAAUUUUUCCUUCCUUUUUUUUUAAGAAGGCAUGAGUAAAGAGGAUGACCAUAAGAUGUUUUUGCAAUAGAACUUUAGACAAAAAUAUGUAGUAUAUCAAUAUGCUUAGAUGUGAUAUUUUUCAUCUUAUUGAAAUAUAUUGAUCAGUGUGAUUUUUAUAAAAUUUAUUUAAUGUUGAAUCUGAUUUGAAUUAAAGUUCAUAUCUCUUUUUAAAGGUAAAAUAUUUAGAGUUUAUUCAAACAUAAAUAUUAACUGUAAUGUGCCUAUUUUGAACUCUCAUUUUCAUAUCUACAUGUAAUAAUUGCAAAGGCAUGUCACGAUAUUAUUUUUUAAAAAAUAAAUAGUAUUUCAGUAUAAAUUUGUAUCCGGUUAAUCAAAUCAAAAGUAGAAAAAAAAAACCUUUUUAAGGAAUUAAAUACUAAAAAAAUUGGCUACAUUCAUCAAGAUAUUAUUGCGCCAUGUUAAAUGAGGAUGAAGAAUAUAAAAGUACUAUAAGAGAUGGACUAAGGGAGAUUAAAAGAAAUUUAGCUUAAAAUAAAGAAAAAAAAAAAGAGUAAAAGUGAAAUGCUUCUCAUUUUCCUAGUUCUUUCUUCACUUGUUUUCCUUUCCAAGAUGUGAAAUCGGCCAAAGCAAAAUCCUCUUCUUGAAAGAGAACGAAAAAUCUCUUCUAGAAGCAUUUCUUGUUCUCGAAUAGGUGUAGUUUGGUAAACUCAACAUAGCACUCAUUCAUGUUUUCCCGCGGCAUCUCGGGAAUUGAUUUCUUCGAGACAACGGUUGUUGGAGGUCGGAGCGGAUUGGGAGAUCUUUUGAGUUUAUGCUCCAGUCAAUGAUUGCAACGUGUAUGGCUGGAGAUGAAGCGACGUCAGCCCCAACUCUGCUUCACUGGUUUUCUUAUGGCCUGGAAAUUUGAAGGCUUUAAGUGGAGGGUAAAAAGGAUCAUUUGAAAGUUAAAAAGGACUGGUUGGCAGUUGAUAUUCGGUUUUCCAUUUAUACCCUCAAUCAAUUCCAGCCAAACAAAAAAGUCAAUAGUGCAAGAUGAUUCAUAGCCCUGAAAAAUCAACAAAACCAAAAUUAAAGUGGUCGGUUUUAUCUGAUUUUCUUGUUUUAAUUAAAAAUAUUUCAACUUGUGUAUUGUUUAGUCAUCAUGGACAUGUAUAGGCCAAACACAAAGAGCUCGUGAUCCUAAAUUAGAAGUCAGAUAAUGAUUUGUAUAAUUAAUCGAAAAGCUAUUUCCAUGUCUAAAAAGUCAAAACGAUUUUUUUUUGUGUUUGACAUAUGCAUUUUGAUUUGAAUUUGAAAUCCGUUUAAUUUGAAAUAUAUUAAACGAGUUGGCCAAAAUCAUUGAGGCAAUGCUAGCUUCUGAUUAACUUGUAAAAAAAUCGUAGAGGAAAAUACAGAUUCUUUCUUUAUAGGUGGUUUCAAAAUUUUUAAUUAUAUGUCUCGUCUACUAAUUUUUUUUAAUAUAUCUCAUUAAAAGUUUUGAUAAGAAUAAGUAAGAAGUCAACGCUUGCCCAUGUUAAAAAUAGCCUGUCGUCUUUUAAUUGGUUAACAUAGAAUUUCUUGAUUGUAGCUUGCGUAAAAUAUCAGGAGAUGUCUAUCUUAUGUAUUCCUAGUACAUGUAACAGGUUGACCACAAAAGAAAAGUUGUUUGUAAUUCAUAAUUAAUAUUCAGAUCCCUAUUUAAACAACAAAGCAUGAGAAACACAAUUUAAUCCACGACCACUAGUCUUGAUGCCAUAGUAUCUCACUCAUUUUCAAUCAAAUUUUCUAUGCAAACAAAAAUUUUAAAAAUAAAAACACAUGACUUCUUUACAUUCAUGUAUUUCUUGGUUUCUUUUAAAGCUUAUGCAAUACUUUUCAUUUGAUUUUUGGAUAAUUGCAAAAACCUCCUCUAAGGUUUCUGACAGUUGCACUCACCUCUCUUGAGGCUUGAAAAAUAGCAUUAACCUCCCCUAUAAUGAAUUUGGAGCCUAUAGUUAACAUAAGAUAGGAUAAAUUUACUUCUGUACCCUAAGAGUUGAAGGUUGUUAGUAAACAAAUUUGGAGCAAAAAAAAAUUAGGGCAGUAAACAAGUCUAAGAUAACUAAUUAAACAAAAUUAACGGUUAUUUUUUAUUUUAUUAGGCACUGUAAGUGCACUUACAAAAUAGUGACAUUUUGAUACUCCAACAUGGUACUAUUUUGUGAUGGAUAACACUUAAGAGAACUAUGCAAAUCAUAUAUUUUCUACAUAGAAGAGAAGUAGAAGCAAGAAAAUGUAGGAGAAAGAAACGUCUAGGUAAAACUUCACAAAAGAAUAAGUUUUAGUGGGUUUGGUUGAAUUUAUUUUAUCUUAUGCAUUCAUGAAACAAAAGGAGAAAGAAAGAAGAAAUCAAGGCAAAUUUUGAGAAUUUUUCUGUUAAAAAUACGCGACAAUCAAAAGAUGAUAGGUAAGUAAUUCUUUAUCAUCUCAACUUAAUACACAAAGUUGUGGUGUUAGUUAUAGUAUGAUGAAAUUGCUAUGUCGAUUAUGAGAGAACAUAACUAUAUAUGAAAUAUAGUAAACAGUGUAAAAUCGAAAUACUAUAAAGUAUGACAAUAAGAAACUCUCUUAUAUUGAUCAAAGGUGAAUAUUCUUAGUUGAUUAACAGUUUCUUUAUAUGCUUUAGAACCUCAUAUUUCUGAACAUAUGUUUGUUGUUUCUUUCAUAUUUUACUACUACCCUUGUUCACUUUGCACAUAUAUCAUCUAAGUUUCAUUAAUUGUUUCCAUCUCUUAAUGUUUUUCAUUCUUUUACUUAUACUACCUCACAAGAGGCAAAAAGGGUAUAAAUGGAACACAAUUAUUAUCUCACUUCCCAAAAGACCUAUUUAAUGGUACUUUCUCUAACAUGGACUGAAGUUGCUAUCAAAAUCUUAAGUUCAGGAGAGUUUAGUGCUAUUUUUCAAACAUUAAGGGAGGUGAGUGCAACUGUCAAAAACCUCAGGAAGGUUUCUGCAAUUAUCCCAUGAUUUUUCAACAUUACUCUGUUGUAGUCUGACAUCUGAUAUUUUUCGACAAGACGGUUGGGGGUUGACUUAAGCAUGAACAUUUUAUCUGUUGGGGUCCCCUUUGGUUUUUUUUUUAAAAAAAAAAAAACAGAAAUUGAAUUAUAUUAAUUCAAUGUAAUACUUUUCAUUAAUUUUUUCAAGAUUACCGUGUAAUCUAGCAUAUGAUAUUUUUCGACAAGAUGGUUGCGGGUUGACUUAAAGGUGAACAUUUUAUUGUUGGGGGUCCUCCUUUGAGAUAAUGUGAGUUCAGAAUCUCCUCAUCCAUAGAAAAGAGCUCUCUUUUCUGGUCAAGAAAGCUAUGUCUAAAGAGCGCAGCUUGCGGAAACAAUCCAUACAUGAGAGCAUAUUGUCUGAAGAUAAGAAUAAGAUAACGCUUUCUUUGGUCCUUCCACCACAAAGAAUGCUAGCACUAUAAAAGCAAUAAAAAUGAUUGGUGCACUACAACCAUACAUCUCCAAUUCUCCAAAGCAAAUUGGCUUGAACUUUUGCUAUUUCGGCACUGAUUUUGCAAUGUGGCGCAAACUCUUAAUAUAGUACCUUACAAAGCCAAGCUCCAAAAGAACGCCUCAUGGCUUGAAUGAACCAAGAGGCACUGAGCCAUAAGUAGUUCUAUAGUAAAACAAGUUCAUCCGAAGUAACACUCUCUAAAACAUCCACAAGUUUUUUUAAUAACAUAAAAAAAUUAUUACACAGAGUAUUGAUGGCAGAGGUGGAUAGCAAAGGCUGUCGGUGGCGGGUGACCUGAAGUGAGGAGCGAGAAAAGGGAGUGAUUUGUAUAACUACAAUAGGUUAUAGUAAAAUUACACAAAAGCUCAAAUUGGGAGGGAAAUGCAAGAAGGGCAUAAUUGUGUUUGAGGAGUCAUACUUUUAACUACAAUUUCUUGCCUUUUCCCGUUAUGUCUGUAAUGGUAAAUUCUCAUAACAUUAUUAUUAUCAACUUGUCGAGGAACUAGAAUAACUAAAUUGGACCAGCAAUUAGCGCAUCAAUGUGAAAAUAUUAAUGUAACAUAUAGUCGGCCGAAUACCAAGAAUUUAUCGACAUAUCAAAUUGAACAACUUGGACCACUGAGCAGAUUAAAUCCAUUCAAAUCCUUCCCCAUUGACCUGUCCGCUGUUCAAAGCAACCCAGGUGCAUGGAGUAACACUGAAGGAAAGGUCAGGUCAUGUUCAAUAUAAAGUUUAACCACCACAGGAGUUCGGAGUUGGAGACAGCAAGAUAAUGACAGAUAAAACUCCAAUGGCCACUCAAAGAACCCCUUCGCAACUCAUCUCAUUUAUGAGAUUUCGAUAGGAGAAGAUGUGGUUGGGUGUACGCAAUAAAUCCCACAACAUACUCCAGCCUGCCAAGGGCACACGGCAAUGAGUUUCUUGGCAACUGCCAAGAAUGGCUGGUCAGGACUCGACCUACCAUACAUAACCCGGAUUUGGGCAGCCAUAUCUGAAUUUUAGUGGCAAAAAAAAAAGAGAAAAAAACUUCUCACAUUUAAAUUGAACUGCCCAAAUUGGGCCAAACUGAUUUUACCCAAAGGCACCACACAAAAAGUUCGCAAAAUGAAUGAGCUGAAAGUAAAAUAUACCCUUCUAAGUAAUUCUGUGACAAUCUUGAUAAUUGCCAUGUAUCUCGGUUUAUCAUGGAAAAACCUCGACAAAGUAUCAAAUAAAAAACGGCAAGUCUUUCAAUGACAUACCGUGUUGUUGGGACACCAAAGUUAGAAGAAUAACAAUUACUAAAUUGGAACAAUGUUCCCAGGCAAGUUUCUAUCUGAUCAAGCAUAAAUCAAUAUGUCAACAAAAAAGGCUGAGGUAAAAAAUGAGCUCAACCAAUAGAAUAUAGUACUAAAAGACGUAGAAGAAGGAUAGAUCUGCUUUACGAAAGCAAGUUGGUUAAUAGAGUAGCAAGUUUCCGUGAAAAUAAAAUAGCUAAAACAUUUCUCAUUAACAUGAGUAACAAUUCUUCAUCUGGAUGACUGUUUAUCUAUUCUCCAUUAGUUUAGCUUCAGAUGAAACCCAAGAAACAGAAAGCAAACUGAUACAAGUGAUUCAGAAUUGACUGAAUCUAUUUGGUUUAGCUGCAAAAACCAUAUGAAAUGCUAAGUCAUUUACUAUGUCUGUAGAUGCUACUGAUGCAAAAUAGAUUGCCAGGCUACUGUAUGCUGACAAGGAGAUGGCUUUCAGGUCUCCUUCAAAUUCUUUUCAGAAUUACAAUAGAUUAGCUUCAAGCAUCUCUCAAAAGUAUGCGUUUGAGCAAAAAGCUUAGUCAUCCCAUGUCUCAUUCUAUAUCAACUUCUUAACCCAAAUAUUAGCCAAAGAUUACUCAUGUUAUGUCUCAUUAAUUAUCAACUUCUUAAGCCAAAAGCUUGUUCAUCCUGUGGUUUCAAUUUUAGUCAAAUCUCUCUCUCUCUCAAUGAAUGUUGUUGAGUCUCUCAUAUCAUUUGAUUAGUGCAUCUGAGUUGACAGCAACUAGAGUAUUAAAAGAUAAAAACAACACAAAUAUCAGCAAUUUGCUCCCUCAGAAAGGAAAGAUAAAAGAAAGCAUCUGCUUUCUCAUACCCACAUAGACUCUAAUGGAUAAGGACCGCAACAACUUGAGGAACAACAAAAUUUCUGAGUCUUUUGAACUUGUUAAGUAUACCUGGCAAAUGGGCGGGUUGGGCGGUUUUUGGGCGAAUUGAUUUGGGUUUUCAUUUAAAUGGGUGACACCCAAUCCGCCCAACUUUAGAUUGGGUUAAUUUUGGGUUGGAUCAUAUUGGGUCAUCUCAAACUCAUGACCCAAAUAUGACCCAAUAUAUUAAUUAAUAGAUUUUGAUACAUAAACUCUCUCAAAUACAUAUUCACAUACAACAAAAAAUUUUCACACACAUAAACACAUUUUCACAUAGAUAGACAUAUUUUUACACACUAAAACACUCAUAGACACACACACACUCACUUUUUAAACUCUUUUGAAAUACGUUAUUUUUACACAUACAAACACAUUAUAAUACACACUAAUAUACUUUCACAAAUACACACACAUACUAACUAUUUAAAUUACUUGGAUGAACUCACUAUUUUUUAUACAAGAUUUUCAAAUUGGGUAUUGUUUUGAUCCAAACUAAGAGACCGAAACAACAAUUUUGGGUGGAACAAUAAAUUGGGGGGGAGGGACUUGUUUUUUCAUUUUGAAUGAAAAAAAGAAAAAGAAAUAGAAGAACAGGAGGAUGCAUUUUUCCGGAACUCGGCAAAAGGAUGGAUGUGAAGAGCGAAGAGUACAAGGAUUUUCUUUUUUCUUUUUUUUUUUUAAAUCCUACUGACAUUUGUGCUGCACCGUUCAUUUCUCAAUUUUGUUCUUUUUAAGCAUUACUCGUUGAUCAUCCUUCUCAGUGUGUAGUAGUAGUAUAUAUAUGAUAAUUAUACAUACCAGUACAUAUAUGGGUUUUGCUUGAUCCAACAAGGCUGGUCAUUUCUUUUUUGUUUCUUGAUUUUAAGUUGUUAAUUUUUUUUUAACUUAAAUUGGGUAAUGGGUGCCCAACACAAAUACCCAAACCACCCAAAAUAUAUAUGAAUUUUUAUUACCCAACCCAAAAUUAACCCAAAACCCAACUUACCCAACCCAACCUCUCAAAUUAGUGGGUGGGUUGGGUGGGUUGUUGGGUUUUGGGUAUAAUUGCCAGCUCUAUUGUUAAGCCUUCAAAAUAUCCUAACAAGCAUUAUCAUUUCAACAGCUUUUAAAGGUAAAGGGUUUGCUAUCACAAAACAAACAGUUGAUUACUAUUGUUUGGCAGGCUAAGAAACUAUAGCUUAUACUGCUCUCAUUCUUUUAAGUUUCGGCAAAUUACAACUCUGUGUAGAAGGCUAAAAGAAUUUGUAAGUUAGUUUGUCCUUUUUCAUUUAUGCCCUUUGCAACAGUGGCUAACAAAUAUGAUGCAGAGUGCAUUAACUAAUCUAGAAAAUAUGCCUUAGAUAAACUGAUUGAUCUACUCAAAAACUCCAACUAGCAAUAUCCUUACUUUUACCAGAAAGCAGUAGGUUCCCAAUGCUAUCAAUUAAACUCAAAGUUGAAGAUUACAAAUUUAAGCUACUUCAUAAAAAAGUGAUUUCCCUUAUGCUUAUGGUGACAUAAAAUCUAGCAUACAACCUUUGAGGCCCAAAUUCUUGAUGUAACUAGUUGUGUUUUAGACAUUCUAAGCAAAUAUUCUUUCAGUUAUCCAAACAGCCGAGAUAGGAAGGGAACACAGGACUUUCCCAGAGAUUGAAGCUAAAUACAGAUGAAAGCCUUUGAACACAACAUAAAUCAAGAUGCUACAGGUCAAGUCAUGAGAGAUGAAAUGGGAGUCCGCCUAGAAGGUUUCCAGCACAGCUUAGUUUCAUGUUGUGAUUGACAUCACUAUUGCUUCAAAGAAUUACCGAAGGUAAAAUGAUUAAUCAACAAGAAUACCAGUCAUUAAUUCCUCAACAGAGAGAUGAAGAAAGCAAAACAAAUCCAUGCUAACAUCCACUUGGAUGAACCGGGAAAGACUGCAGUUGCUCAAAUAGGAUCUGCAAACCGCUGCAUUUUUUUGGCAGUUGUUGACUUUUUAAACAUACAAUAUCUACCAUUAUCUUUCAAGACAAACAUUUUAGGACUACUAAAAAAUGUCACAACUAAAAUCAAAAUUUGUCCUUCGGGAUAUAUAAGCCAUAUUCUAUAUGCUGUUCUUGUACAGUUAGCUUUUAGUAAGAUUAUAUCUAGGAGUUCAAAGGUGAUCCAGUAUGAAACUGGGUUUAUCCUCCUUGUUAGUUCAACUUCAUGAAAUCCACGCACAGCCCACAAGCAUUUCCACUCAAGGCACAAUUAUCAAUUCCAAACGCAAGUCCAAUUUGAAUUAGAUUUCCCUCUCCACAAUUUCAACUACUAAAGUCCCAUAAAGAUUUCAAAGUAGCAGCUGGUUGUAUUUAUAUAAAUUGAAGAUUCAAGGGUACAAAUUUUGACAUACCAUUCAUACACAAGUUCACAGAGAUAAAAUGCCAACAAAACAAAAUUUGCCCACUAAAAACAUAUCUCAAUAACUAAAUUUGAAACUUAAUCUGUAAAUUCAGGUAGUACAUGACAUUGAGCUGUCACCAGUACUAUCCCGUACCAAGGUAAAAAGACACACUAAUGUACCUCCACAGGCCGUGAUGAUCUGAUGGAAUCAACAAAUCCACUACUAAGUAGCCUUUCCACAUAUUUCCCCAAUAUAUCAACCUCCAAAUUCACCUUCUGUCCAACUUUCUUCAAAGGGAUCACCACCUUUUGCUGUGUAUAUGCAACCAACAUAAAAUUGAAGCAGUCUUCCUCAUCGAACACAUCAACCACAGUCAAGCUAGUCCCAUCAACUGCAAUGAAUCCCUUAGGCACAAUGUACUUCAACAAGUCCUUCCCUGCCUUCACUUUUACCCACAGAGAAUCCCCCUCUGGCUCGCGGCGCACGAUUACUCCGGUCCCAUCAACAUGGCCCUGCACAAAAUGACCUCCCAUUCUAGUACUAGGACUUAGAGCCCUCUCCAAAUUCACCGAAGACCCAUGUUGCAAUUCACCCAGAGACGUUUUCCUCAAAGUUUCCGGGGCUAAUCCGAUGGUGAAUUCAGCCAAUUGGGUAUCGAAAUCUGUCACUGUUAAGCAGGUUCCAUUGACUGCAAUGCUAUCACCUAAAUGAAUGUCCUCAAGAAUGGUUUUUGCUUGGAUUUUCAUGGUAAAGCUGCCAUCUUUAUCAUAGCCCAGAUGCUUAAUUUCGCCCAUUUCUUCAACAAUUCCUGUGAAAAGGGAUCUUACUGGGGUGGAAUAGAAGAGGGGUUUAAAGGGUUUUGUCGGUUUGGUGGAGAAGAGGAUUGAUAAGGAGGGUGGUUUAAGGGUAAAGAUCAGAUUUUUGGUGUGCGAUUUUUGCUGGGGCUGGGGGUUUAGGAGGUUCAGAAAUUUUGGGGUUUUGGAUUGCGAAGAAGGGCUCAGGAGCCUAGACACAGAGGAGGAAGAGCUAGACAGAGCAGUCAUGUUUAGCUGUCGGAAGAGUUGAGGUUUUGAUCCUUGGGCUUUGGCGAAGUUUUUCGGUUUUUGUUGGUUGGAGUUUUGACUUCUAAGUUCUAAGUGCGUAAGACUAAAAUCCUAUUUGGGAUGGGAAAAGCCGAAAAGGGGCAACAAAACAAAUCAGAAAAUAUUCCUAUUUUCCAGUGUUUUAGAACACGGAUCUGUGAAGGAAAGAAUUUACCCAGAAAGAUUGAAGUUCAGGAGAGAAAUGAAAAAAAAAUAAGUGAGAUUUUGCCUUUUCUUUUAUUUUCUUUGGUUAAUAUCAAAGUUUUUCUUUUCUGAAGUUUUUCGUUUCUUUUCUUUUCUUUGAUUAAUAUCGAAUACUUCCAAAACAAUAAAAAUUUUCUUAGAGAGAGCGUUAUAUUCAAGGUAACGCUCUGCAGUCUUAUCAAAUGCCAUUGAUCUUUUUCUGCAGUCUGUACUAUUUUUUUUUUUUUUUUUUCAGUUGGAGGUAUACGGAUCUACACCCGACCAGUCCACCCAACUCCGAGGAGAGCGGGCCCACCGAUCCUGAGGAAAAUACCCCAAGCAGCUCAAGUGCGAAAUCGAAACCAGGACCGGCGCCUUAAUGAAGAACGCGAAGUCCACUCGAGCUGUCCGUGGGGGCUGCAGUCUGUACUAUGUCGAUAUUAGGGACUCGGGGCAGGGACGGUUGCACCUGUGGCAAAUUCCCUCUUCAUCAACAGCGCGUAACUUCUUUUGUUCACCGUGUAACUUUUUUUCCACAGAUUGUAUUUUCACAACAUAUAGUGGUGGGCCCCACACUUGACGCGAAAAUCGAGUUACCACUUGUUAUCUGAACCGCACAUUUUUUCAUGGUCCAAUCUGGACCAUGAACCGUGCAGGGACGGUCAUACUGCCCCAAAUCCCGAUAUUAGAUAUUAGUACACUUACUGGAUAAUAUAAUAGUCAUGGAGUGGAGAAAGAGGGAAAAGAAAAAGAAAAAUGUUGACUUAGUAAAAAUCAAAAAGAAUCUGAGGGUGGCGUUCGAAAAAAAAAAUUUGUAUGCUAGAUUUUGUAGAUGACAAGUUAAAAAAGUCAGAAAACUUUUCGACUCACAUUAGACAACUUUGUGUAAUUGCUUUGAUUCGUAUGCUCAUGAAAUUUAAAAUUAAAAAAAGAUAGAAAUAUAACUGCUGGACUUAAUGUUUUAGGUGGAUUAAAUGCAAUCUCCUAAGUAAAUUAAUAUUUCCUUGUAUGUUGUCCUUAUCUUAGAUAUACCCAUUUUUGAUCCUGAGUAUUAGUUUGGUCUUCUAAUGUAGUUGUUAAUUCAUUCUCCAAAUAUGCAGCAUCUGCUUUUAACCUCAACCAGUCUCGCUCAACCACACGAUCGUGAAUUGUGCACCUCAAAACUAUAUAGAGUCUUACUUUAUAAUGCUCAUUAGACGCCCAUUAAAAAACUUAACAAGAAGAAGAAAUUUUAAGGUCUAGUUUCUAUAGGUUCAUAGGAAAAGGAAUAUUGCAUUCUAUCGAGUAAAAAGCAAGUGAAUUAGGAACAAGAUUGUCAAAAUCUUUCGGCUUUUCUGUGGCCAAUUCUAGUUAAGUAGAACUGAAGCGUCAUACAAAUCGCAUAAAAUUCCCAAAAAUGUCCAUUUCAGCAAACUGUUUUUAACUUUCCUCAGCCAUAUGAUGCCAUAUAAUUUCCUGCUAAUUUAGAAGCUGUCAAGGGAGAGGAGGAAUUCUGAUUUCCAAAAUCAUAUAUUCCUUGUGCAGAAAUUGCCUUGUGCAAUUUUUUGGGCUAAGUGUCUACAAACUAUAUAUACAUAUGUGUGUGUAUAUUACGAAAAGUUUUUUUUUUCUUUUGAGCCGAGAGUGUCUUGGUCUAAUGGCUAAGAUUAGGAUCCAACAUGAAUUGUCUUUUCUUUCUUUUUGCUUCUUAAAUCUCAUUCCCCCUCACAUAGAAUUUUUUUUUUAAAAAAAUAUAAGAAUAGUAACACACAGUACUGGGUUUGUUUGGAUAGAGUAUUAUUUGAAAUAUUAUUUGGAAUAAUUACUGUAGCACUUUUUGUGAUGUAAUGUAUGUGAGAUAAAAAAAUGAUUGGAAAUAUAAAAAAGGUGGAUUGGAAAAUGUGUUUAUAAUACAAGCGAAAUAUUAUUUGAGAUAAUGUGCUAUCCAAACUAUUUUUUCUUUUUGAAAAGUGUAGUUAAUUUGAGAAAUUAUUCAAAUAUAAGAGGCGUAAUAAUUGUGAUUCUAUAUAUUUUACAUUGUAAAUGAUGUAGUCUGUUAACGAAUAUCCAAUAAAAAAAGUCCUAUAUAUUAAGUGUCAUACAAAUUUAAACGUAUCAAGAUCCUAGUUCUUUUUUUUAAUACUUUAAUUGAUGAAUAAUGUGGUUUUUCAUGCACUGAACUGGGUUCAAGACUAAAUUAUCUCAUUUUCCAUCACAAGUAUCCAUCGUGGGCAAAGGAUUGGAGCUCCUAAUAUAACCAAACGAACAAGGAAAGAAAAAUGAAACACAAAAUUAUUAAGAUUAAACUCUAAUUAUAUCCUGAUCGAAAAGGGAAAUCCAACAUAUAUGUCAUUAUAAACUAAUCCCUUUUCGACGAUGCUCGGCAAAGAUGUUUCUGCUCCUAAUUAUUUCGAACCAUGCAAAAGAAAACAAAUUUGUAAUAGCAAAGAUCGAUGAUGGGCUUACUAAUAAUUUGAAGGAUUUGAUAGUAUAAUUUUUUAAUUGGAAACCUAUAAUGAAAGAAAGCUCGGAGGCAGCCGAAAAGGUGUUUUAAUAGAACAAAAUUAUUAUUAUUUUUUGUUUGACGGUGUCUAUGUGCUUGGCUUAGACUCUUUGGGGGUCUAUUUAAUGAAACCAAUGUUGAUUAGGAUAGAAACUUAAUUCUAAUUUCCUCACAAUCUUGAACCAUAGAUUUUAAAACCAAAUCCAACUUUCUACAUUCGUAUACAUAUGCCAAACUGGAUUUGUUUAUAACUUAUUCUUUUUUAUUUGUAUUACUGUGACGGAUUACACGACCAUAUAUAUUGGAUUUUCCUUUUCUACAAGGGUACAGAUAGCGUUUAAUCUUAGUUAUUAUUUUGUAUUUCAUUCAUAUUUUUACGCAUUAUGCAUGGAAGAUUGCAUUAGUCAUCAAAUUCAUUGUAAAAAUUAGAGUUAAAAAAUACUACGAUUUUAGUGGUAUACUUGUAUGUAAUGAACAAUGCACAAAGUCUUCGAAUACAACAGUCAGCAAUAGGGCUGCACAAUGCAAACUGGAAAAGGACGAAGAAACAAAUAUUAGGAUCGAUAGCAAGUAUAAGCACAAAUGUCGGAUCGAAAGCGCCCCCCACAAGAGUAUUGGAACUCUGGAAGAAGAGUGUUAACUAGUACCUGAACGUAUUUUCAUCCAAACAAAAAGCUUAGAGGAUAGAUAGAUGAUUGUUCUUUGUACCAACUUUGGAGGUAAUUAUAUAUUUGACAAACAAAUAAAUACAUAAAUAAAAAGGAAGAAUCCAAGAAGGGAAGAAACUCCUAAUUAGCAGCAAAGAAAUUUUGAAUCCCUGCGGGAUAGGGAAAAGCCUACACAGUCGGCUGUCUAAAUAACCCUCUAUUUAAAGGAGCAAAAUGGUGAAGAGCCGUCGUCAAUUAUUCGUAACUCUUGUGCAAUUAACUUCUUAACUUCUCCUCUUUAAUUAUUUGGUCUUCCCUUGUUUUUAUUUUGUCGUCAAUAACGUGGGAUUCAUGGAAGAGGUAGAACAAGAGACGAGGCAGGAGGUGAAGGAGGUAGUAAUAAUAGUAGCAGUAGGAGAAGAAAGGGUUGAAGAAGUUGAAGAGGUCAAGACCGAGACGACCAUGAAAGGACACCUUUGCUGGCUGGAUGUGCUAGUCAAUGUGGUGGCUUUCAUUUCAGCGGCCACUACUUUAGUGCUUACUAUAUGGGGUUCCUGCCAAAUUCCCAAAGCCAAACGCUUAUCGGAGUCUUAUUCUGUUUUAGUGUUCAUUGUAGUUCUGAUGGGUGUCGGGUCUCUAUACUUGGCUGGAAUAUGGCUCCACCACUUGAUUCAAAUCACUUCCACGGAGAAGCGAGUUGGUAAUAAUCGUUCCUGAAUCGUCAUUUGAUGUUCCUACUAUAGUCAUGGAGGAUUGGAACAUUGAUGUGUAAUGUUCCUGAUUGAUACAAUUUUGUUCUGAUUGUUCCAUUCUUUUUUCUUUCUUUUUUUCCUUUUCCUAUCAUGCAAUCGAGGUUCCCUUUUUUUUUUUCUUCUUGUUUAGCAAAUUAUGCUUGCAAAGAGUUAGGUUUAAAAGGCAAUAGUCGUGAUUAGAGGUGGCAAAUCAACCCACUUAACUAAAUUUAUCCAUACCCGCCCAUGAAUAGAUGGGUAUGGGUAUCUUAAAUUUUUGUAUAUGGGUAUAAAUGGGUUACCCAAUAAUACCCAUUUAAUAAAUGAGUAUUAUUGGGUAACUCAUCAAACCCAAUUAACCCAUUUAGAAUUCUCUUCCCCCCAAGUCUCUUCUUUUCCCCCACCUUUUUUUUUUUCAAAAUUUUCAUUUUGUCAUGAUGUUAACUACUUUUGUUUCAUUAUUAUUAUAAUUAUUAUUAUUAUUAUUAUUUGUUGGUUUUAUCUUAUUAUUUUAUUUUCUCUUAGUUUGUUAACUUGCUCAUUUUUUAGCAUUACCAAUUAUGAUAAAUUUUAGCCUAUUUUCUUAUCUUUAUAAAAUGAAAUUUUAAAUUUAUAUAUGAAAAAAUGUUAGGGGUUCAAAAUUUUUGGAUUAAGUUUUUAUAGUACUUAGUUCAAAUUUUUAUAUUCUUAUUAUUCAAUUAUUAAAUAAUAGGUAAUGUUGUGAAAUAGAGUAUAAAUGAAAAAAAAUUGGUAAUUAAGUUUAUUGAAUAUUAUAAGUAAAUAUUUAAAACUAAUGAUGGGUACAAAGAGUGGUAUAAAUUGAUAACUUAGUUUGCAAAAAUGAAUUUAAAUGAGUUUACAAAAAGUUAAAAUAAAUGGGUUAUAAAUGGGUAAUUGGGUUACCCAAUUCAUUUUUUGACUUACCCAUUUAUACCCAUCUAAUUAAAUGGGUAUAAAUGAGUUGACUCACUUAUACCCAUUACCCAUUUUACCCAACCCAAACCCGCCCAAGUCACCCAUUUUGACACCUCUAGUCGUGAUGAUCUAACCAAACUACACUAGUUAGUUGUGGAUCGGACCUAAGAAAAAAGAGAACUUGUCCCACCAAACUUCAUGCAGUAGUUGGGUUUUAUGAGGAUUACUGGCUAGAGUGUAUUUGCUCAACUUGAACUAUCUAUUCAAGACCUUUGGGCAUUACUGAUCGUUGAAAUUUUUGUUUUCUGAUCAAUUUUGUUUAUAGUAUUUCACCAAUUUAACGAUUUACAUCACCAAUUUUGUUUCUGUAUCUUGUUAAUAAGAUUUUUUUUUUUAAAGGGGUGGAGCAUGAAUGAAUCAGUUGUCUGUAUCGAAGCCUGUUUUGUUUAUUUUCUUGCCCAUUAUGGGUGGCAAAUUAGUGAUAGAAUUAAUCUUGAACCUCUUUCUUUUUCUUUUUCUUUUUUUUCACGUUUUAGUUUAGAAUUUGAUCACGUUAGUCAUCAAUUUCAUAAUAGAAAAGGGUACUAAGAAUAUGAUGACCUCUGUCUCAAUUCGUUUACGUUCAAAGACAAGCAUAAGUUUUAUGUAUAUCUAGAAAAUUGUUUGAAUAGGACCCAGUAACCAUUGAAAAUACAAUACAAAAGCACUAAAGGCACUAAAAUAGAGGGCACAAAUAAUGCAUCCUGCAGAAGAAACAAAAAAAAAAAAAAAAAAUCAAAUGCUCCGUGAAUUUGGUACAAUGUUUGAUAAACAACCAAAACCUUUAGUGGGGUUAUACAUAAAUGUCAAAAGAUUAGAAAUUUUUAUAAGAAACAUUACAAGUAUGAUAAUUUUAAUUGUUAUAUAUUGAGAAAAACAAAUUAAGAAUACACAUUACACAUCUUAUAAGCUCAAAAUUUAUCUAAAGUCGUGAAAAUUUUAUUGAAAACAUUAAUUUAAACGAUAAACUAAUAGAAAAAUUUUUUUAAACGAAUCAUGCUAAGCAAAUUAAUUGUAGUGUGUAAAAAAGGCAUAAAAUUAGAAUUGCAAAAUACUGGAACAAAAUCAGCAUAUUAGUCAGUGUGGAUAUAGAAGAUAAAGGUGUGAAUUUAGCCCCUUACAUUGAUCAUUCUUUCACCGCACGGACCUUCUUGUCUUUUCCUUUUUCUAGUGGGAGUAAGAAACUUCUUUGAUGCUAUGUAUUUUCCCCCUUUUUUCGUGGAUGAUGAGACUGUUAAUUGUCUUUGUUGUUCACAUGGAUACGAAUAGCCUAAGUCCUAAUCCAAAGUGUGAAUGAUGGGAAUGUUAAUUGUCUUUGAUAUUCACUUGGAUAUGAAUAACCUAAGUCCUAAUCCAAAGUGGAUUAGUCCCCCCUCUUCUCUCUAAUUCCGUUAAUAGACCCUAGAUUAAGAUUUAGCCACAUACAAUUGCUGGAUAUAAGGGUCCAUACUGCUUUAUUUUAUUUCCUAGCCUUAAUUAAAUCAAUCAAAUGAUUCAUCCAAUAACUCUUGUUAAUUAAAUCAAUCAAAUGAUUCAUCCAACCCGCAUUGAGUACUGAAGCAUUAUGCAUAACUUGUAAUAAUAGUUUCUAAAUGUUUAGAUCAUAUCUCACACAAAUUGUACUUAAGAAAUUUUUUUUGUCAAUUCUUGAAUUUUACGAGGUAAAGCAUUGACGACCAUAUUACUUCAAAUUUGAAAAACAGUUAUGAGCUUUAUAAUCUAAAAAAACUGACUGGAGAUCCUAGCAAAAUAUUUUGAGUUGUUGAACUCUUAAUUCUAGCACCAGCUUUGAUCCUUGACUACCACCUGCCCAAAAAAAAAAAAUCACUUGCUUGUUUUUUUUUAACUUCUUCCCAGAAAAUAAAGGUCACAUUUGGAUUGCAAUUUUUUUUCUUUGGAGAUUUUGGAAGUUUCUUGUAAAACAAUGACAGAUGUGCAAGGGAAUAUCCUAAACAUGCGAGAAAUAUGAUCCCAAAGAAGUAACAUUUCAAAGUUUCAUACUCUAUCUUGCAGAGAAAAAUGCAGUUUUGGUGUCUAAAUUUUGACACAUGAACAAUGUCAAUCUCCAAACUUUGGACAGAAACAAAUUUGGUACUCAAACUUUCAAUAUUUGAGAACAUUUAGUACCGUUAGUGAUUUUUUUCCAAAAUGCUACUAGAAAGAGUUGCAUGAUAGUUAUAUGUUGGGCAAAUGUUGUAUAAAAAAAAUGCCACAAAAACGUAAAAUAUCUUUAUGACACUAAGGUGAAAAUGAAAUACAUCAAAACAAAGAAGGAGAAAAGAAAUAAGAUGAGCGGAAUUGGGCAAGUGAUUAAAGUUUUUAAAAGAUCUUUCUUGGUACUUAGUGUUAAAAAGAUAUUUUACAUUUCUUUGACAUUUUUUUACGCAAUAGUUGUCGGACAUGCAACUAUCACGUGACUCUUUCCGAUAACAUUUUGGAAACAAAUUGUCAAGAGUGCUAAAUGUACUCAAAUAUUGAAAAUUUGGAUACCAGAUUUAUUUUUAUCCAAAAUUUGAAAAUUAAAACCACUCAUGUGUCAAAAUUUAGAUACCAAAAUCACAUUUUUCUCCUAUCUUUCAUGGACAGGAGAGGUUAGUGACAAUUUUGGUCUCGCAAUAUACUAUUUGUCUCUUUUGACCCAAAGGAGUCCACAUCCAAUAAGUAAUAUUAUAAAUACAAAUAUAUAUUUAGUAGCCGAGCUUAUUAUUUUGGAGUUCAAGUUCAACUCGAAUUAUUACUCAUGUAGUCAGAAUUCUAACUCGAACUCAAUAAAAUCAAGUUUGAGUCGGACAUUUUUUUAUUGAGCAUCAAGUUACCUACGAGUAGACUUGAUUCACUUGCACCUAUAAAUAGAAUCACAUCUCAUGGGUUAAUAACUUGCUAUCUUCACAUUGACCCAUAUAAUUAGGAGUUUCUAAAAUACUUUUAACACCAACUUAAGAUUAAUAAUUUUGGAAAAUAAAUUUUUUGUUUUAAAAAUUUAAACUUUAUGGGUCUAUCUAACGAGCUGGUUAAGAUGUAGUUCACUAGUUCACUUGUUAUAUUUUUCAAAAAGUAAGUUCAUUAGGGAAAGUAUAUAAAUGCAAAAGAAAUUAAUAUUAUUAGUGUGUGUAUUCAUAUGAUAAGUUAAAUGUGAUUUAGUCGUGCUAACAAUGACCUAUGAAUUUACCAAAAAAAAAAAACAAUGACCUACAGGCACCCGUUGCAAAAACUCAAAACUAAAAUUUGACAAUUUUAUUAGAAGUUUAAAAUUAAAUGAAGAUAGAAAUAUAAUUGCUGGACUUAAUGUUUUAGGUGGAUUAAAUGCAAUCUCCUAAGUAAACUAAUAUUUCCUUGUAUGUUGUCCUUAUCUUAGAUAUACCUAUUUUUGAACCUGAGUAUUUAGUUUGGUCUUCUAAUGUAGUUGUUAAUUCAUUCUCCAAAUAUGCAGCAUCUGCUUUUAACCUCAACCAGUCUCGCUCAACCGCACGAUCGUGAAUUGUGCACUUCAAAACUAGAUAGAGUCUUAUUUUAUAAUGCUCAUUAGACGGCCAUUGAAAAACUUAACAAGAAGAAGAAAUUUUAAGCUCUAGUUUCUAUAGGUUCAUAGGAAAAGGAAUAUUACAUUCUAUCGAGGGAAAAGCAAGUGAACUAGAAACAAAAUAAAAUUGUCAAAAUUUUUCGUCUUUUCUAUGGCCAAUUCUUGUUUAGUCAAACUGAAGCGUCAUACAAAUCGCUUAAAAUUCCCAAAAAUGUCCAUUUCAGCAAACUGUUUUUAACUUUCCUCAGCCAUAGGAUGCCAUAUAAUUUCCUGCGAAUUUAGAAGCUGUCAAGGGAGAGGAGGAAUUCUGAUUUCCAAAAUCAUAUAUUCCUUGUACAGAAAUUGCAUGGUGCAAUUUUUUGGGCUAAGUGUCUACAAACUAUAUAUAUACAUAUAUGUGUGUAUAUUACGAAAAGUUUUUUUUUUUUCUUUUGAGCCGAGAGUGUCUUGGUCUAAUGACUAAGAUUAGGCUCCAACACAAAUUUUCUUUUCUCUCUUCUUGUUUCUUAAAUCUCAUUCCUCCUCAAAUAGAAUUUUUUUAAAAAAAAUAUAAGAAAUGUGCUAAAAAAAGUAACACUAUUUUUUCUUUUUGAAAAGUGUUGUGAAUUUGAGAAAUUACUCAAAUAUAAGAGGGGUAAUAAUUGUGCUUCUGUAUAUUUUGCAUAGUAAAUUAGGUAGUAUGUUAACGAAUAUCCAAUAAAAAAGUCCUAUAUAUUAGGUGUAACCCAAAUUUAAAUUUAUCAAGAUCCUAGUUCUUUUUUUUUUAUACACUUUAAUUGAUGAAUAAUGUGGUUUUUCAUGCACUAAACAGCGUCCAAGAGUAACUUAUCUCAGUUUCCAUCACAAGUAUCCAUCGUGUCAAAGGAUUAGAGCUCCUAAUAUAUCCAAACGAACAAGGAAAGAAAAAUGAAGCACAAAAUUAUUAAGAUUAAACUCUAAUAAUAUCCUUGUCGGAAAGGGAAAUCCAACAUAUAUGUCAUUGACUAAUACCUUUUUGACGAUGCUUGGCAAAGAUGUUUCUGCUGCUAAUUAUUUCGAACCUUGCAAAAGAAAACAAAUUUGUAAUUGCAAAGAUCGAUGAUGGGCUUACUAAUAAUUUGAAGGAUUUGAUAGUAUAAUUUUUUAGUAGGAAACCUAUAAUGAAAGAAAGCUAGGAGGCAGCCGAAAAGUGUAAUUCCUCACAUUCUUGAACCAUGGAUUUCAAAACCAAAUCCAACUUUCUACAUUAGUAUACUUAUGCCAAACUGGAUUAGUUUAUAACCUAAUGUUGUAUUUUUUGUAUUACUGUAACGGAUUAAUUACACGACCACAUAUGUUAGAUUUCCCUUUUCUAUAAGGAUAUAGAUAACGUUUAAUCUUAGUUACUCCUUCCGUCCCACUUUGAUAGUCCUAUUUUCCUUUUUCGUCUGUCCCAAAUUGUAGUCCACUUUCCAAUUGAAGAAUGUAAUUGUAUUUUAAUUUUUCUAAAAUACCCUUAUUCAAUGUAAGUUGUUAUUACUAUAAAUCUACCCCAUUUAAUGAGGAUUAAUUCUUUUUUUACCAUCAAUUCAAGUUCCCAUAAAGUUAUACUCUAUUUAAUGUGAGGGUAUUUUAGAAAAAUAGCAAUCUAAAUUUACUUUUCCAACAAAAUUAACUACUUCUUUCUUAAACUGUGUGAAAAAAGAAACAGAACUAUCAAAGUGGGACGGAGGGAGUAUUAUUUUGUGUUUCUUUCAUACUUUUAUUUGUUCGUUUGGAUCAGGAUCUCCAACCCUUUGCCCACGAUGGGCACUUGUGAUGGCAAAUUGAAUAAAUUAGUCUUGAACCAACUUCCUGCAUUAUGCAUGGAAGGUUGCAUCAGUCAUCAAAUUCAUUGUAAAAAUUAGAGUUAAAAAAAACUACGAUUUUGGUUGUAUACUUGUAUGUAAUGAACAAUGUACAAACUCUUCGAAUACAACAGUAAGCAAUAGGCCUGCAAAAUGGAAACUGGAAAAGGAAGAAGAAACAAAUAUUAGGAUCGAUAGCGCCCCCCGCAAGAGUAUUGGAACUCUGGAAGAAGAGUAUUAACUAGUACCCGAAAGUAUUUUCAUCCGAACAAAAAGCUUAGAGGAUAGAUAGAUGAUUGUUCUUUGUACCAACUCGGAAGUAACUAUAUAUAUAUUUAUGGCAUGGGUCUUCUGUUACAUGCAUAUUAACGUUAAACACUCGGGUUACGUAGCCUAAUGUAUUGACACGUUUCUUUCUUAAAAGUUUUUUUCUCGAUUAGAAGUAUAAUUAUAAUAAUUUAAAGAAGAUAGCAAUCAAUAUAUUAAAAUGUUUAAGAUGUUAUAUCCUAUUAUAGUAUUAUGUAAUAGAAGACCUAUUGUCUAUAUAUCAAAUUGUAGGUUUUUGAGAUCAUAAGAUUAUAAAUUGAAGAUUUUGUAUACUGCGCUGAAUUUUUUGUAUUCAACCCAUUUAUCUAUACGGGGCAAUGGUGACGUGAUAUAACUACCUUAAUGUAUCUCAUUUUUUUACCAAAAAAAAAAAAUUUCUUUUAUUAUACUUGUCUUAAUCUUGUGCUUAGUGGCCAAACUUAUGUGAUUCCAUAGUAAAACAGCAGCUGCCAGUAAAGGAUAUGGACUUUGGUAUUGCAUCCAAGCGAACAACAAGGAAUGAUAAAAUCCAUUUAAUGACCCUAUAACAAAUAAAUAAAUAAAACGAAGAAAUUUGUGAAUCCCUGUGGGAUAGGGAAAAGCCAACACAAUCCGCCGUCUAAAUAAUCCUCCUGUUAAAGGAGCAAAACGGUGAAGAGCCAGUCAUCAAUUAUUCGUAACUCUUGUGCAGUUAACUUUUCCUCUUUAAUUAUUUGGUCUUCCCUUCUUUCUAUUUUAUCAUCAAUAACGCGGGAUUAAUGGAAGAGGUAGAACAAGAGAAGAAGCAGGAGGUGAAGGAGGUAGUAAUAAUAGUAGCAGUGGGAGAAGAAAAAGUUGAAGAAUCUGAGGAGAUCAAGAACGAGAUGAGGACCGAGAAGACAAUGAAAAGACACCUUUGCUGGCUGGAUGUGCUAGUAAGUGUGGUGACUUUCAUUGCAGCAACCACUUUUUUAGCACUUGCUAUAUGGGUCUCCUGCCAAAUUCCUGCAGACAAGGGUUUAACGUUCCUGGCAGUUCUUAUGGCUGCUGGAUUCGUAUGGACUGCUGGAGUGUGGAUCUGCCACUUGAUUCCAAUCAUAUCCGCAGAGAAGCUGCUUCGUGAUAAUCGUUCCUGAAUCCUCAUAAAUUAUGUUCCUAUGGUACUGGAGGAUUGUAAGAAUGAUGUGAGAUGUUCCUGAUUCAUACAAUUGUUUAUAGUUUAGUGCAGGCAGCAUCUAAGGUUUCCUUGAUGUUCUUUCAUGACAAAUUUUUAUACUUUAGAUGUUUCAUCAAAUAUUAUUUACGGUUGUUGCCAAGUUCUCGGAUUAAGCAAGCAGUUCUAAGGAUUGGGAUUCUGAUUGCUCCAUUCUCUUUUACUUCUCUCUUUUCUUUUCUUUUUUUCCCCCUCCUUUCCUAUCAUGCAAUUGAGGUUUGUCCUCUUUCUUCUUCUUGCUUAGCAAAUUACGCUGGCAGAGGGUUAGGUUUAAAAGGCAAUAGUCGUGAUCUGACCAAACUGUACUAGUUAGUUGUGGAUUGGACCUAAGGAAAAAGAGAACUCGUCUCACCAAACUUCAUGCAGUAGAUGCCUUUUAUGAGGAUUACUAGCUAGAGGAUAUUUGCUCAACCUGAACCAUCUAUUUUGAAUUUAUACAAUUUUCUUUUUUCAAACUUUUCCCAGGAUGACGUCAUCAAAGUAAUUGUUUUGGAUGGUAUGAAUUCAAGACCUUUGGGCAUUCCUGAUUGUAAAAGUUUUUUGUUUAUUUUCUAAUUGCAAUUUCACACAUUCAUGCUAUAGCACAAAAUGUUUAGGCAUGACAACUUCGGUUUGUUCUUAGCCCAGUAUGGGCUUGUGAGUUGGCAAAUUAGUGAUGAAUAAAUCUUGAAUUUUUUUUUCUUUUUUUUCAUGUUUCAGUUUGAAUUGAUCAAAUUAGUUAUCAAUUGCACAAUAGAAAAAGGAUAUACAGAAUAUUAUGACCUCUGUCUCCAUUCCUUUACGUUCGAAGACAUGCAUAAGUUGUAUGCAUACCUAGAAAAUUCUUUGGAUAGGACAGUAAGCAUCGAAAAUACAGUCACAUACUAAAAAUUAUACCUGACAAUUGAGCAGGUUGGACGGGUUAAUAUUGGAUUUUUAAUAUUGAAUUUUUACUUAAAUGAAUUAUACUCAACCCGCCCAACUUUAGAUUGGAUUGAUUUUAGGUUGGGUCAUAUUGGGUUAUCUCAAACCCAUGACCCAAAUAUGACCCAACAUAUUAAUUAAUACAUUUUAAUACAUAAACUUUUUUUUACAUGCAUUUUAACAUACAAAAAAGAUUUUUUUCACACAUAUAAACACAUUUUCACAUGCAUAAAUGUAUUUUCACACACACUCACAUCUUAAGUUCCUUAAAAACACAUCAUAAAUAUAAUAAUAUUUUAUAUUACUUGUAUUGUGAAUUUUAGAUAAUAAAUUGUACAUUUAAAUAGAUUAGCUAAAAAAAUUGUUUACUUUAUACUUUUUAAUACUACUAAUUGAUUGAAACUUAUUAAAUGACUGGAGACAUUACUGCAUUUUGGUUUUUGGACUCGGUAAUUAAGAGAGAAAAUUAAUUGUCUUGCUGAUUCCAAGCUUCUCAUGAAGUUGACGAUUGGAGGUAUUCGUUUCAGACGAAAUGAAAUCGUUGGCCUAGCCAUGCCCAAGUUGCCAUAAUUAAUCAAAACAAAAUAGAAUCCGCAAGUCCACUAUAUUGAUUUGAAGUUAAUAUCAUGAUCUAUAUACAUAUAAUAUAUAUUAGAAGUUUUUUUUUUUGAUUUGAUAUAGUUAGAUAAUUCAUCACCUGAUUAAUUAGAAUCAUCUAGGAUUAUACUUGAUGCUAUUGUCAUAUUAAUCUUUUAGAAUUACCACAGCUCUGAAAUAAAGCAGAAAAUAUUAUAUGCUUGUAAAACUGGUAUUGGUCCCCAAAAAAUUAUUAAGGAAAAUCCCAAACUUUUUAAGAAAUAAAUGAGAGGAGAAUUCAUGAACUAUUCUGACAUUUUUACCACAUUGGGAUCGCAUUAUUUUGAAUUAUCAAAAAAUUAGGCUGAUACAAAGUAAGCUUUUGUUUGUAAAUUUGAAGAAUCCAAAAUUAUAUAAUGCUACAAGGUUAAAAAAGAAAUUUGUACAAUAUUAUACGUACACAAAAUAUUAACAAACAAAAGCAAUCAUAAAAUAUUAAAAAAGAAUACAAUUAGAACAAAUUUAAAACUCUAUUUUACGUACACGAAAUAUUAACAAACAAAAGCAAGUAGCAACUUGAGAACAACCACAAAAAAAAAAGAAAAAAAGGGGGAGGAAAACAACAUACUCUUAAAAGGCAUAAUAAAUUAUUAUAAAAGUUGAGCAAGUUUAACUAAUGUAUAAAAGUAAAAUAAGCAUCAGUUUUUAUUUCAAGUUUCUUUUUUCUUUUAAAUAAAAAUUAAAAAAAUUGAUUAAAUAUAUAUAUAUGAGAAUUUUGAAUACAAAUUAAUCAAUGAAUUAUUAACACAUGUCCAAAUUUAAAUAGUUGGACAUAUGUGUAUUGAAUCUUGUAUUUAUUAUUUUUGAAUUACUUUUAAACAAUUGGAUAUUGGGUACCCAAAUAAAAAAUCCAACCUACCCAAUAAAUAAAUUGGGUUGUUCUAACCCAACCCAACAAAACUCAUAACUCGAUUGACCCAACCCAUCCUUUAAAAUUAACAGGCGGAUUGGGCGGGUUGUUGGGUUUUGGACUUUUUUGCCAGCUCUACUAAAAAUAUAGGACACAUAUGGUAGGAUAGUUAGCAAGUAUUAGAUCACCAGCCAAUCCUAAACAUUCUUAUAUUGGUAAUCGAUAAGAACAUGUGUAUGGAGUAUGAGCAAUUAUAUCAGUUACGCUCUUAGCAAGUUACAAUUAAAUCUGUAAUCAAGGAACACCAGCCAAUCUAAACAUUCUGCAAUCAGCAAACCAUAAACAAUUGUCUGGAAAAUUGGGAAGUAUACAAAUUGUUUAACAAAUUAGUUAAUUAACCUAAGAUAAUUAAUCCGUAAUUCAAUCCUUAUCUUGGAAUGAUGGAUGAAUUUUAGCCUUUAACUGAUACAAUACACACUUAAGGAUUCAGCAAUAAUCAUGUUGUUGUUAUAGUAAACCAACCUCCUGUGGAUGUGAGGUGAAUGAAAUUGGAAAGCCACAAUCUAGACAAAUUACAUUCUAUAAAGCCACCAAAUUGCAAAACAAACCCCAUGUCUGAGGGAAGGAGAUAGCUACCCAAUUACAAAACAAAUCCCAUGUCUGAGGGAAGGAGACAGCUACCAAAUUACAAAACAGAUCCCAUGAGAUGGCCACCAAAACUAAUAAACUUAAUCGAUUACAAAACAAAACAUCUAUUGAGUUUUGAAGUUAAUCCGUACCAGUCCACCGCCACCUCCUUAACACCCUUGCAAUUACAACUUUUAAAAAAUUGAAGAAAAAACACAAUGUGCUGAUUCCGAAGCAAAAGUCAUGCACCUCAACUUUCAAUUGGAUUGCAGUCCAUAGUGGUAUAGUAUUACCAAACAAGAACACACUCCCAAGAGUAACGAUAAGUUCUCCAACAGGGAGAAGAGGGACGUAUGGUUUUUCUCCUUUGUAGAACCAUCUCUGGUUCCAUCCCACACCAUGAAAUUUAGCCUCAACCAAAAUUGCCAAUGAAGUAAAUACUAUACUCAACAUAGCUACACUGAAUCCUAGUGACAUAGAUCGCACCUAACCGCACGCGAAUAGCGCUUGCCCCCGCGCUCGCUUGCGCGCAACCAUGCCCAUCCGCAUGCAUGCCCGUGUCUAGUUGAGAGCGCUCGUGCCCAUCCGCACGGACGACACCACGCGGCCGUGCCUAGCCGGCCGAGUUCCGCAGCACCAUACAUAGUAGUCUUGGCACCAAAGUUGGGACCGUCAGUAGACCCACACCCCAAUCCCCCAACUAAGCCCCAAGCCUUGAUGGCUUGGCUAAAGUAUGGAGGUUGUGCCACAAUGUGCUAGAGCUAUGUAGGACAUGCUAGAAGCUUGUGGAGCCUUCUAGGGUUUUCAAGAGCCUUAUAUAUAAGUUUAGGACUUUAUGAAUAAGUAUGGACUUGUGUAGAACCAUCUAGUGUUCAACUGUACAUACAAAUUGUGUAGAGAUUUCUAGAGAACUGCUUAGGUGUCCAAGUUGUAGAAUUCUCUAGAUUUGUGUAGCUUCUUGACUUGCCUAUAAAUAGGUCAAGCCCUUUCAUUUGUAGUAAACUUUUGGCAACCUUGUAAAGAAGUUUUGUGUGUAAUAUAAGUUUUCUUUUGCCACAUACUCAUAUCUUUGUCUACUACUUUUGCGUUUCUGUAUUAUAAUCGCGCAUUGUGUGUUAAGGCUGAACUAGUCAAGCGUUCAGAGCUUAAGUCUUGAAUGUACACUAGUGCCGCAUGGGGAGUUGGCUUGUAGGAAAACAAGCAACUCAUGACAAGUGGUAUCAGAGCUUGAUACUGAUUCUUGAUUGCCAUGGCCACAGGUUCGGAUGUCACUAAUGAACCAAAAAGAUGAGCAAGUCAUGAGGGAGCCGGAGAGGACCGUUCCUACUCUCGGCAAAGGCAAAAGAGACAAUUCGGCCGUGGCACACUCGAUGGCGACCCUUGAAGCAAGGUUAGCGCACGUAGAGCUAACCCUAGGUAUCACCGCGACCAUUGGGAUGAGCUAGACCAACGAAUGGAGCAAUUUGAUGGUGUGGAGCUACGUGAGGACAUGCAAGGUGCACUCAAUGAGGCCGUGGAUUAGCUACUAAAAGGGAAUAAUGCCAUGUGGGAGAUGAUCGAGUCUCUACAAGCCGAAGCUGUCCAACUCAAACGGGAAUUGGAGACUUGUAAGACCCAACUAGCACAGGUGCUAGCGUGACCGUGGGAGAACCGUUAACCACGUCGGAAGAGCUUGCGAAAUUCAAAGCCGAGAUUGAUACGUUGUAGACACAAGGGGCAAGUGGUGCGAUCGUGACCGUACCAAGAGUGUAGGUUCCACGUUCGAAGGCCUACGGUGAUGCAAGGAAAAGCGAUGAAAAUUGAGAAUUUCCUUUACGGGCUCGAAUAGUACUUCGAUGCCUUUGGUAUUGCAAGUGAUGAUGCUCGGUUGCGAACGGCUCCGCUAUAUCUGAAGGAUUUUUCUUUGAUAUGGUGGAGACGUAAGCGUGAUGAAGGACGUCGUGGUGAGGCCACUAUCACCACUUGGACUGUGUUUAAGGCCGAAUUUGAGCCGGUCAAUACCAAACAUGAGGCAAGGGCCAAGCUCCGCUAUCUCCAGCAUAAGGACGACCACAUGAAGGAGUAUGUAAGCGAGUUCUCCAAUUUGUUGUUGCAGAUACCAAAUAUGGCACCCGAACAUGCAUUAUUCAAGUUUUUUGACGGCUUACGACCGUGAGCUAAGCAACGAGUGGAGGACAAAUAUUCAUAAAACGUCUCCCAAACCAUGAAGGCAGCCCAGCGCUUGAUUGAGUUCCAACGGAAGAAACCUACGAAAGACAAGGGCAAGAAGCUAAGCAAUGGAAAAAGUGGGGGAGACCGGCCAAAACAAACCUCACGAUCACAGACCAACAAGAACCAGCAAAAGGGAAGAGGCGCCAACAACUUGAAACCGGGGAAGAACUACGAGGGAUGCUAUACGUGUAAGAGUAAAGAGCAUUACGCUCAUAACUAUCCAAGUCAUGGCAGCCUUGCUACGAUUGCGCAACAGACUGGCCCGACGGAGGAACAGAAGGUCGCGUGCGUACGAUGUCUAGAGGCCGUGCAGGCAACAAACGAUCGAAGUCGCAUAUAAAUCGAUACCCAUAUCAAUAGGCACCAAGUGAUGGCUCUACUGGACACAGGGACGGAUGUCAACUAUAUGAGUUAAGACACCGCAAGCAAGAUGGGUCUUGCAUGGGUGCCAGCAUCAGGGCACUUUAAAAGUAUUAACGGUGAAUGGACACGAUUAGUAGGAGAGACAGGCUGGCCCGAUGGAGGAACGGAAAGAAAUGUGAGUUUCCGGAAAGAGAAAUAUGAGUUUAGCUUGCACGAGAUCUCUUUUUUGGGACACAUUGUAGGGGGCGGCAAGAUUCGAAUAGAUCCACAGAAGAUGAAAGCCAUUAUGGAGUGGCAGGUGCCGACUACGCCCACGGAACUGCGGUCGUUCAGCAGUUCCGUGGAUUGGUGAACUACUAUCGCUGCUUUAUCAUGGGGCAUUCAGCCAUUGCUGCUUCGCUAAUAGAUUUGCUGCGCAAGGGCAGGACGUGAACGUGGACAUGGACGGCACCUUGUUAAGUAGCGUUUGAGGCAUUGAAGGAUACGAUCACUAAGGAGCUGGUCUUCGCAUUGGCCGAUUUCGCCAAACCAUUUGAAGUGUACGUGAAUGCAUCUGACAUUGCUGUUGGAGGAGUUCUUAUGCAAGACAGCCAUCCGAUUGCGUAUGAGAGUUAUAAGUUAAGUGAUGUAGAGAAACGGUGGCCGACGCAUGAGAAACAGAUACUUGCAGUCGUGCAUUGCUUACGAGUAUUGGAGCACUAUUUAAAGGUCACUACACCAUUUAAGAUUAAGACAGACAAUAAGGCGGUGAGUUACCACCAGUCGCAGAAGAAGUUGUCAAGCAAACAAACACGAUGAUUGAAUUACUUAACUGAAUUCAAGUACGAGCUUGAAUACAGCUUGGACAAGACGAACGUUGUAGCCAACCCUUUUAGUCGCAAGAACGUCGUCGCGCCCGUGUAUGCUACGAAGGGGCUACUCCUAGAGAGCAUUAAGGAAGGACUUUAGCGCGAUAAUCGGGCGCAAGCGCUUAUAGAGUUAACUAGUGAAGAAAAGAUAAAGAUAUUUUGGCUUGAGAAUGGGGUCCUCUAUGCUAAGAGCCAACGCAUUUAUGUGCCCGACUGGGGACACUUGAGAAGAGAUAUUCUUAAGAAAUGUCACAAUAGCCGCUAUACUGGCUACCCUGGCACGCAUUGUACACUGUCUUUCGUACGAGAACGCUAUUAUUGGCUGAACUUGAGAGACGACAUCGAUGAGUACGUGCGUACUUGUCUUGUGUGCGAACAAGACAAGGUGGAGAACAAAUCACCCACCAGAUUGUUGCAACCCUUGCCGAUACCGAAACAUGUUUGGGAAAGCGUCUCAAUGAACUUUAUAGUCGGGUUGCCUAAGUCCGAGGGAUGUAAGAGCAUCUUUGUUGUGGUUGACCGGUUGUUCAAGUAUGUUACGUUCAUCCAAACCUCAAAAGAGGGUACAGCCGAGGUGACGGCCAAGCCAACUUCCGUAGCACCAUACAUAGUAGUCCUGGCACCAAUAUUGGGACCAUCAGUAGACCCACACCCCAAUCCCCCAACUAAGUCUCAAGUCUUGAUGGUUUGACUAAAGCAUGGAGAUUGUGCCACAAGUUACUAGAGUUAUGUAGGACAUGUUAGAAGCUUGUGGAACAUUCUAGGGUUUUCAAGAAUCUUGUAGAUAAGUUUAGGACAUUGUGGAUAAGUAUGGAUUUGUGUCGAAUUUUCUAGUGUCCAAAUGUACAUACAAGUUGUGUAGAGAUUUCUAAAAAACUGUUUAAGUGUCCAAGAUAUAGAAUUCUCUAGAGUUGUGUAGCUUCUUGGUUUGCCUAUAAAUAGGCCAAACCCUUUCAUUUAUGGUAACCUUUUGGUAACCUUGUAAAGAAGUCUUGUGUGUAAUAUAAGCUUUUUUUUGUCACAUACUCAUAUCUUUGUCUACUACUUUUGCGCUUCUGCAUUAUAAUCGCGUAUUGUGUGUUAAUGCUGAACUAACCAAACGUUCAUAAUUUAAAUCUUGAACCUACGCUAGUGUCGCACGGGGAGUUGGCUUGUAUAAAAACAAGCGGCCCGUGACACUAGAAUAUUGGCAAUAAGUCUUUUCUUCUUGUAAUCGUCUCCCUCACCCAAAGAUAUGAGAUAACCUUCUAUUCCAAAAGCCAAACAAACAACACCAGCAUCAAACUGUAAAUUAAGAUUAGGUGGUUAUCUACAACUAAAGUUCGGUUCGUAUCUAAACUCAAUAAGUGCUCAUCUAAAUCUAAUGUAACUUACAUAGCUUACAAAUUUUGGAGUCAAACAUCCAAAAAUCGGCUAGAUGUUUGUCUCCUCCUCCUUAAUGAUAUCAACACCCCCCUUUUGCUCCUCCAGGGAGUGCUUCAAUUCAUCGUAAUCUUUUUUAAACUUGAUAUGGAUGAUCUUGUAUUUUUCCAUGAGAUCUUCUAACAUCAAAUCUAUGGGUUGCUCAGACGUUUGAUAUUUUCCCUUGGAUUUUGCUUGUAAACCAUCUACACCGUUGAACACCAAUUUGUCUAACUCUGUACAAGAAAUAUUCCAUCACUAAUUUCUUUUAAUCUCUUUGAAGUAAUUUGAAUUUAAAAACCACUUUAAUACAUAUUCUGUAUGAAUGUAUAUUUUUUAACCAUGAUGUAGAAUUUUUUUUUGAAAAAAAUUGCAUAUUUGCAUAUUGAUGUAGCAUGUCCAACUUCAUUUGCAUAUUCAAUGGGUACCAAAUACAAGGCAUACAAAAUAAAUUGUGGAUUUGCCAUUAUUAGUGUUCCUUUUUUAAAAAAAAAUAUAAAAGAAUAUUUCAGAGGACUAGUUACAUUUUGGACUCCAGGUGUUUACUGAUUCUCACUGUUAAAAAAAAUACAUAUGUAGCAAGGCACUUUGUAGACAUAGCAGACCCCGCAUUUGCCUCUCUAACCGAAUUUGUGUUUGAACUAGAAAAGGAAAUAAUUGUAUACAAGCAUAGGCAAUAGAGAAAUAUACCAAUGUCUAGGUGAGAAAUAUCUUCCUCUGCUUUUUCCAUUAGUUUCUCCCGCUCUAGUUUCUCCACCUCCUCCUUGAUUGCUUUAGUCAAUCGCUACAAAACACAGAAAACAACUUUAGCUCCUCCUUUAUUAAAAAAUAAAUAAACUACAGAAAAUAACUUUUUAAGUUCUUGAGAUAGAAACCAAAAAAUAGUAAAAAUGCAAAAUCUCUAAGAUGAUAGGAUUACAUUGAGAUGGUCAUAUUCCCUUUGCAACUCAUCAUUUAAUCUCUUAUUCUCAACCUUCGAGUCAGCAACCUCAUCAUUCAAUCUCUUCAUCUUACUGCUCCAACUUCCAUUUUCUUUACUCAGAAUGUCAACUUGUGAAGCCAAACUCUUGUUUUGAGAUUCCAAACCAUCAUUCUCCCUAAUACAAGUUUCAAGUUCAUAAAUUUUCCCUCUUAACUCCUCCAAUUCACCUAUCCUCAAAUCUUUAUGCCUCCUUAAUUCCUUCUUCUCAUCUGUGAUGAUCAUCAAGUUGUUACUCAUUGUUUCUAGCUCAACAUUAAGAUGAUUCAUUGCAUGUGUGAGCUCUAUAUUGCUUUUGUUCAACUCUUCAAUCUCUCUAAGACAAGGUUCACUUGCCAUUUUGUCGGCAAAGAUGGAGAAACUAGUAAGAAUGCUAAGAAGUAGUGAAAAUAGUUUCAAGUUGGGGAUGUGUGUGAGAACCUAGAAAUUUUGUUAAUUUAUCUAGUUUAACUACAUGGUACUUUAUUUAUUAAGUUAUCUAUUUGGUUAUUUAUUGUUUUUGCCUUAAUAUUUUUUAUUAAAUUUUACAUAUGAAAGUUAAUGUGUGGGAUAAAAUGAAAAUUUCCUUUUUAGGGGGGUGUAAAAGGAACUUUUGAAAAAAAGGAGGACUUUAGUGCAAAAUAGAGAGAAUUGGGACACUUGGAGCUAGAGAGCUCUAGAAGGUGACAAGUGUUGGGACAAUUGGAGUUAAAGAACUCUAGAAGAUGACAAGUGUCACCAUAGGAACCAAGUAAGACCUUUGACCAAACUUUCUUAUCAUUUAAUCUUUCCUUUCUUGCUUUAAAAAAAAAAAUAAAACAACCAAAAUCAAGAGGAAAUGAGAGAGAGAGGGCUGAGAGCUAGGGAAAAAAAAAAGAGAAGAAAAACUCAACUUUUUUUCUCCAUUUUCGCUUCAAAUCUUCCCCAAUUUUGGUUGAUUCUUGAAAUCUUGCUUGAGUUUGGAAGAAAGUCUUACUUGGGGGUAACUCUUGGAAAAAAUUUGGACUUGUUGCAAACCAACAAAUAACAGCAGAGGCAAAGUUUAAAGUUUUUUUUUCUAUUCUUUGUCUCUUGGCCCCAAUUAAUCCAUACUUCAGUCUUUUUUUCAUUUCUAGAUGAGAUCACUUACACCUUAACCGCACCAAUAAUUAUUUAGUCAUUUAUUUAUAAUUCAAAUUAGGAGAAUCAUUCUUCAUUUUUUUAUAUUAGUCUGAUUGGUCCAGUUUAUGGCUUUCAUUUAUUAUAGGGAUAACUUCAUAAACCUCCCUUGAAGUUUCUUACUAUUUCACUUAGUUCCCUUGAUGUUUUAAAAAUUACAUUUAUCUCCCUUGAUUUGACACUUUAGUAACCAAAUUUUAAAAAAGAGUAAAAAAUUUAAUCAAUACCCUAAAAUGCCCUUAUCUUGCAAAGUUCAAUUUGUUCUUCUAAAUAAAAAGAGUAUAAAGUUUUUCAUACUAAUGUUUAUUAUUUAAUAAUCAACUAUAACAAUAAAUCUUUUGCUAUAAUAGGGUAUUUUUCAUAGUAUUUUAUUGGGAACAUAAAUUCUUUUUAAGAUAGAGAAGAAAGUGCUAUUUUGUUUCUUUUGAAGUUUAUGGACUAUUUUUUAAUAAAAAUUUAUGGACUAGUUUAGUGGCUGAACUAUCAUAAUUUGGUAAUGAUUUUGGGCCAUUUGUUUUUAAUUAUUGUUGAAUUAUCCUUAAUUUUGAUACCCAAAAAAGAGCUAUAAAAAAAUUGGAGGAUAUUAAAAGUUAUCAAAAAAAUAUUACUAGUUUAACAUUUAGUUUGGAUAGAUAUUAGGGAUAAUAUUGAUAGUUCCUCUAUACUUCUAAUGAAAUAUAAGAGAAAUGAAUAAGAAGGAAAAUGAUAAAAAAAAUUAUAAAAUCCAUCCUUUGUAUAAAAAUGGCAACAAGAGAGUUUUAUUAAAAAUAUUAAGGUUAGUAUUGUCACUUCAAAUGGACAAAGGAGGUAGGUGUAAUUUUUGAAACCUUAGGGGAGCCAAGUGAAAUAAUUAGAAACCUCAAGGGAGGUUUUUGAAAUUAUCCCUUUAUUAUAUUAGUCUGAUUAUUCUAAAAAAUUCCUGUAAUAUAAUCAUGUAUAUGUUGCUUCUUGUAUAGAAAUUUGCACCAACUUCAAUAUUUCUAUUGUUACUAGUAAAAGUGCUCCUAAUUAAAAUACAAUAAAAUUAAGAUUUUUUGCCUUUUGAUGUAAUAGUUAUGUUUACUGGAAAAUUAGUAAUCCAUUCUUACGAUACCUAGUUUCUUCUAAAAGUACCAAAAUUUAUGUAAAUAAAUUGGAAUAAUUUGGUAAAGGAUUUUAUACUUUUUUACUAAUAUAAUCAAGAGAAUUUUGCACCUUUAAAACAUAAAUAGAAAGAAAGGACAAUGGCAUGAGCAUAAAGGUGACCAAAUGUAAUACAUAUUACACCACAAGUUUAGGUAUGAUUUAUUUACGUAAUCAGUAAUUUAGUUCUAGUCAAUAUGCAUAUUGACUUCCUACAAAUGAAAGUGUAAUUUAAUAGUGAUGCAUUAAUGGAAUUCGUAGUUUAAACACAAUCAAUUGAGCACCUAUUCCUUUUUUUAAGUAGCUAUUAUUUAUUUUGUUACUUAGGUUAAAUAUUUACAUAUAAAAUAAUAGCAAUAGAAUGCUAAUCCUCGGACGAAUGGGACUUCAAUUAUUGUUAAUAAAACUAAUUUUACAUUGAUAAAAAUUAGUCUAGAAAAUGAAAAGUUGAUGGCAACAAUUGCUAAAAUAUAGCAAUUUUUAAUUAUGGGAAAAUAAAAAACUAAGUUCCCAAAAUAUUUCACUUUUAUUGUUUAAAAAAAUCUCAACUUGUUAACUAAAUUCAAAAUAAUUCUUUUAUCAAAAAUAUUCUUCCUCUAAUUAACUUUAAUGAUUAGACAUGGGAUACAAAUACAGUAAAAUAUCCCUCAUAUGUAUGUCAUGGAUAUUUGAGACUUUCGGUAAAAAAAAUUUUGUUAUUAAAAUAACAUUGUAUAAUAGUGUGUUAAUUAUUUUAGCAUCGUUUUAUACGUAAACUGAAUUUAAUUUAAAUUAUACCAUAGAAUAUAUGUGCAUGUGAUUUUCAUUUAAUUGUUGGAUCUCAUUUUUUUGAACAAGCUCCCAAGGAAAAAAAAUCCGGAUCAUACUGAUUUUCUUAUAUUAAUUAUUAUACUAAUUUUGUCAUUUUUAUUGUUAUACUAUUUCUCCUUUUGUUUGGACUUAACUCUUAUUAAUUCUUGUAUCCUAGAUGUAAAUUUAUUAAACUUUAUCAUCUUAGUAUAUUCAUAGGUUUUAAAUUAUAAAAAUUGUGAUAUAUAAACAAGUGAUAUUCUAUAUAUAACUAGAAAGAUUUGUUGUUUUUGUUAUCCAAACUUUCAAACUUUUUAAAAAUUGAAAAUGAUUAAAAACUUAUAAUACGACAAAAUUUGAUUACAUAUUUUAUAAGGUUAUGUGAAAAGUCAAACUAUUUUUCAUGGUAUUCUAAAAUAUAUAAAUACAAAAAAAUUUUUAAUUAUACCUAUAAUCAUGUAUUAUACAGGUAUAUUAUGAGUACUUACUAACUAAGGUACUAAGUUCUAAUCAUUAAUAAAACAUCUUAUCAUUGUUUCAAAUAAACUUCCUAAUACUAAGUUUUUAAAGUAAAAUAGUACUUGUGUCCCAUAAAUCAAUAAGUUUCUAUCAUUAAUCAAAUUUACCCAGUUAUUAAUAAGAAUUACUAUUUAUGUAUAAAAAUUUAUUAUUAUUUGAACUAAACUUAUUCUAACAAGUAAUUUUGGGAUAUAAAGUAGUAAUUUACUUAUUUAAAAAGUACGUUUAAUAUUUAUUCCAAUUUACCUUUUGAGGUAUAAAAGUUACUAAUUUAUUACAGUUAAUUUACUAUUUUAGAUGGGAAACUUACUUCCUUAUUUUUAGGUGUUCUCCUAUUUAGGUGGAUAUGUUGAACAUGUAAUCAAAUACUCUUUAAAAGUACAACAACAUGUUAUAUCAGAAAAAAACUGUUUCGUUACCGUAACUAUCAUUACUAAAGCAUUGUCCGAUAUGGAAAACUUGAAAUAUCUAUUUUUAUUUUAUCCAUUUUUCUAUUUUUAAACUUUUCCCAGGAUGAUGUCAAAGUAAUUGUUUUGGAUGGUAUGAAUUCAAGACCUUUGGGCAUUCCUGAUUGUAAAAAUUUUUUGUUUUUUGAUUACUUUUGUUUAUUUUCUAAUUACACUAUUUCACAAAUUCAUGCUAUAUGCACAAAAUGUUUAGGCAUGACAACUUCGGUAUGUUCUUAGUAAUUUUUUUUGGGGUUUUUAAGGGGCAAAGCAUGCAUGACUCAGCUACCUGGCUUCCCUUUUCUACAAGUAUUGAAGUUUAAUCUAAUUCAUUGUUCUUUCUUUUGUUUAUUUUCUUUGCCCAAUAUAGGCUUGUGAGUUGGCAUAUUAGCGAUGACUAAAUCUUGACCUUUUUUUUUGCAUGUUUCAGUUUGAAUUAAUCAAAUUAGUCAUCAAUUUCAAAAUAGAAAAAGGAUAAUAAGAAUAUUUUGACCUCUGUCUCCAUUCCUUUACAUUCGAAGACAUGCAUAAGCUGUAUGCAUACCUAGAAAAUUCUUUGAAUAGGACAGUAAGCAUUGAAAAUACAAUCGCACACUAAAAAUAUAGGACACAUAUGAUAGGAUAGUUAGCAAGUAUCAUAUCAAGAAACAAUUUUCAUGUCUGGUAACUAGUUUAAAAAUCAGACUAGUACAUAUGGAAACUUUUCAGGCCAUUAAUUGGAGAGAGAGCUCGUCUUAUCACUUUUAAAUUUGGCUCAUAUUACAGCUUUUAUGGUUUCUCAUCUUUUAUUUAAUUUUUGGUCAAAGAACAGAAGAACACCACUAAGCUUCUACUCCAUAUAAGAGAAAAGCUACAAGGAUUGCCUUAUUUAUACAAGCAAAAAAGGCAACCUAAAAGUAAGUGCAUUAACAUUCCCAAAAAUGAAAGAUAUUUCUUAUCACGGUAAUACCAAAAAGUUAAGCAUCAAAUAAAUGGUAAGCAUAAAUGUUAAGCAUCAAAUACCAAAAAGGAGAGAUGAAAAUUCAAAGAUACCUUGUCUGUGGUGGCUUCUUCAUCAUGUAGUUGUUGCAUGGGUUUAGGGCAUUGAUCUUUCUGUCUUAAUGUGCCUAAACAGGUUGAAUGGCUCUUGAACAUCAUUGGACCAAACUUAACCGAUAACAAUACAGAACGUUCACCACCUAGCUCUAUGGUUUUUUGAAGCCCAAGAUUUAGCUUCCAAGAUUUAAAACUUCAUGACAGAUAUGAGAAAUAAUAGCACAAAAAUUCCAGUCAAAUUAAUUCUAGGAUACCACUUUGACACCAGAAUCAAGCAGCAAGUGUAACUCAGCAUAGCAGCACUAAAUUGAUCAAUGCAAACCAACAAAUAACAGCAGAGGCGAAGUUUAAAGUUUUUUUUUUCUAUUCUUUGUCUCUUGGCCCCAACUAAGCCAUACUUCAGUCUUUUUUCAUUUCUAGAUGGGAUCACUAACACUUUAACCGCACCAAUAAUUAUUUAGUCAUUUAUUUAUAAUUCAAAUUAGGAGAACCAUUAUUCAUUUUUUUUAUAUUAGUCUGGUUGAGCCAGUUUAUGGUUUUCAUUUAUUAUAUUAGUCUGAUUGAUCUAAAAAAUUCCGUAAUCAUGUAUAUGUUGCUUCUUGUAUAGAAAUUUGCACUAACUUCAGUAUUUCUAUUGUUACUGGUAAAAGUACUCCUAAUUAAAACACAAUAAAAUCAAGUUGUUUUGCCUUUUUGAUGUAAUAGUUAUGUUUACUGGAAAAUUAGUAAUCCACUCUUACGAUACCUAAUUUCUUUUAAAAUUACUAAAAUUAUGUAAAUAAAUUGGAAUAAUUUGGUAAAAUAUUUUAUACUUUUUCACUAAUAUAAUCAAGAGAAUUUUGCACUUUUAAAGCAUAAAUAAAAAGAAAGGACAAUGGCAUGAGUAUAAAGGUGACCAAAUGCAAUACAUAUUACAUCAUGAGUUUAGGUAUGGUUUAUCUAUGUAAUCAGUAAUUUAGUUCUAGUCAAUAAAAUUUAAUAGUAAUGCAUUAAUGGAACUCGUAGUUUGAACACAAUCAAUUGAGCAGCUAUUUCCUUUUUUAAGUAACUAUUAUUUAUUUUGUUACUUAAGUUAAAUAUUUACAUAUAAUAGCAAUAGAAUGCCAAUCCUCGGACGAAUGGAACUUCAAUAAUUGUUAAUAAAACUAAUUUUACAUUGAAAAAAUUAGUCUAGAAAAUGAAAAGUCAAUGGCAACAAUUGCUAAAAUAUAGCAAUUUUAAUUUUGGAAAAAUAAAAAACUAAGUUCCCAAAAUAUUUUGCUUGUAAAAAACUAAGUUCACUGUGGUAAUGACCAAUGAAUAUUAUUUUCUUUUUAUUUUCUAUAUAAUUUGCCCUUUUAGUUAGGAUACUAAGUUGAAGAGCAAAAUAUUGUUAUUUACUUUUUUUACUUUUAGUAGGGUUGGUGGUUUUCCUCUUUAUUUACCCUCACAUUAAUAGAUUUCAAAUCAAAUUCCUAUAUAAGUGGGUCAUUUGUUACUUUUAAAUUCAAAAAAUAUGAAAGGAUAUAUAAAAAAUUUUAAAAUUUAAAAUUCUGUAAAAAAAGAAAAAAAGGAUGAGAAGUUAUAAGCAUUCUGAUUUAAACAUUCUAAAAACCCUCCCUACAAUACAUAUAGAUAUAGACAUAUAGAUGCUCUAUAAAGAUUUCAAUAGUAGACUUCUUAUUUACUCCCAUGUUGGUAUGUCCCUGGUUUAAUGCUACCUAGAUGUGAUACAACCACCAUAGACAUAUUUAAUUUGAAAAUUUAUUUUUGUGCAUUGGUUUGUCAAUGGAAUUUACUUUUUGACACAUUAGCUUAGUAAAGACUUGCGUAAGCAAAUCACUUCUCUGUGAUUUCUUUUUACAGAUAAGACUGGUUCUUGCUAAUUAAUCUAAUCACCCAACAUUUUUCUCUGGAAAAGGAUUGAUUUUCUCUUAUUUUAUUUUUUUUGUGGUUAAAACUGUGGUUCGCCGUGCUGGACAUAGUCUGUUACUAGUUGUGGUUUACCGCAUCUUAGCUUAAGUUAAUAACUCAACAUUCCAUGAUCUCCUUGGAAGAUGAGUGGGAUAAUUUGGAUUUUGUGUGGACUUCAUUCUGUAGGACUAUAUCAAAUAGGGUUAAUUACAAUUUGCCCCCUUGAACUUGACCCUUUAUAAUACUUUGCCCGCUUAAAAUUUAAAUAUAUACACUUUACCCCCUUCAUUGACUAGUCAAACAUUAAUGAUAAAAUUUCCAUCCAAAAUUUUAACAAAAUGACAUUAAUGUCCAUACAUAAUAGUUCUAAAAUAAUGCUAUACUUUUAAUCGGAAUAUGAAACAUCUUAUUAGAAAAAGCACAAAGUCACAUGAUUUUAAAAAAUUAAAAAUGAUUUUAAAAAAAUUAAAAAAUAAAAGAUGGUAUAAUACCAAAUAAUUGAAAAAUUGUAUUGUGGAGAGAAAAAAAUUUUAAAAUUCCUAAAACAUUUGCACAAGUUUUCCAUCGUUUAUCUUUCUUUCUUUAAAUUGUAAACAGUUUGGUUUUGAUAAUUUUCAUUUACCUUGCAACUUUCACAAGAUCUUCACAAGUCAAUAAGAUGCUAUUUGAUAAUUUUAUACCACAGUCAUACCUUGCUUUAUAUUUUUUUGAACUCUACAUUUAAAAAAACUAAAAAUUCUCUAAAUAUAUUUUUCAAUACAUUUUUAUUUGUAUUCAUGUUUUUAUCUCAUAUAAAACACAUUAAAAAGUAUUCCAAUAAAAAAAUAUAGGCAAAUAAUUUUCAUUCCAAAUGCACUAAUUAAUUUUAUUUUAUUUAAAAUAAGUAUUGCUCUUGGCAUUGAGCUAAUUACAUUGAGUUGCUUAGACUUCUUUUUUGUAUAUUAUCCAACCAAUCUAUUUUAGUGUUAAAAGAUCGAAACACAUAGUGUAAUUGUGUUUAGAUACAUUUAGCAACUAUUAAAGAAAUAGGUAUUUAUUAUGUUACAAUUUUUAUGUGUGUUUAAGAAUUAGCUAGGGGUAUUUUGGUCAUGAAAAAUAUAACUUUAUUUUAACUCAGUCAAAAAGUUGACCACAAGGGGGUAAAGUGUAUAUAUUUGGAUUUUAGGGGGAUAAAGUGUUAUAAGGGCUCAAGUUAAGGGGGUGAAGUGUAAUGAACCCUAUCAAAUAUCCUAUACAAAAUUCUUAGUGGGCAGUGAUACAACCUUGAUUAUUGGUUCAUAGAAUCAGCAACUUCCACUUCUCAAACCAUCAGUGGAAUAGAAAAGAAUACUGCUAGUAUGUGUGCGCAUUUAUUUAUUAAUAUCUGCUUUGCAUUUACAAGUCAAAACAGGUCAUGUCUACUAAAGUUGGUAACUUCUUCAAUUUAUUAAUCCUGUAUUAUUAUUAAAAGCUUAGCAUUACUUUUCAUAUCAAUCAUGCAGAAUUUUAGGCUUGUUGGAUUUGUUGUGAUGCAAUAUGUUUGGUUUUUUUGCAUUUAAUGCAAAUUCAUUUUUCAACUUUUAAGUGAUAGGUAACUAAUUUCAAUAUUCAGUGAUCUGUGAAGCUACCUAUAGAUAAUUUUCUCUUGUAAUACAAUUGGUAGAGGACAUUGUAUAAUGCUGUCUCUUUUUUCCAUGGUUGUUUGGGAUAUGUAGGUCCACUAUUCGUCACAAGCACGUGACAUUGUCUAAAUUUGUCAUCAGAACUAGUAUGGUAGUUAGGUUUUAUUAAUUACAAGGUCUAAAAUUAUAUGGAAACACAACAAAAGAGUCUCGUGCUCGUAUAUUUGCUAUCGAUAAUAGCCAAGACCUCUGCUUGGGGAUGGUUGUUAGAGGCUAGGAUUGCAUCACCAUCUGCUAUGACAUUUUGCCCAACUUGCUUAUCCAAAUUUUAAUGAAUUAAUUAAAAGUUAAGAUGUUUUCCGUAGCAUCUACGUUCCUGAACUUUAUUUUCUGUCUUUUUAUUUCCUUCUCAUUUUCUUUGUUUUUGCAUGUAUAUUACCUUGCCCUCCCAAUAGUGCACACACGUACAUAGAGAAUUACGAACUAUAGGAUAUUCUUUUCUUUUCUUUGGUAGGGAGUGCAUUGGAAAGAGAUGAUAAUUGUCUCUCAACAUAUGGUAUAUCCCAAAAAACUCCUCCCAUAAAUAAGUUAGUGCAAUCCACUGUGCAUCAGACGGAUAAGGUCGUAUCCUAAGUGUUUUCUGGCCAUUAGCUUGCACUAGGAUUUUGCUUGUAGGAAAGAAGGAAUUUUUCCUGUGUAUAUCUGCUCUUUUACUUGAAUCAUUAAACUUUAUUAUUUAAGUCAUCAGAUUUGUCCACAGAGCAGCUCUCUAAUUUACUUUAUUUACAUUUAUAGAUGAGCGUUUAUGCUAGAGGGGUAUCAAUGUUGAUGCCUGGAGAAGAAAUCCCGACCUUCAUUGCUUAUCUAGCUCUAGCACCAUGUCCCAUGAAGGGCGUCGCGCAGCUCUUCCAUCAACAUAAUGUGCUUCCCUCAAACUCUUCAAUGCAUAGCCGUAUCAAUCAUUAAAUAGAAGAAAGCAAAGCUCAAGAAAGAUCACAUGAUUGUUGAGGGAUUUCCUUUUUUUUUUUUUUUGGAAAAGACAUUACUCAAAACCAAGUUAACCGAAUCGAAUAAUACGUGACAUGUGUAGAUUGAUUGUAAUAAUAUAAAAUUUCAAAAGGAAAGUUAAAGAAAUAUAUGAACAAAGACGCAAGUAUUGGUAACUCCCCCAUAAGAAUGGCUCAAAUCAUUGCAUUAAACAAGUGAGAGGAGCACAAUAGCAAAAUUUUAAUGGAUGAAGUAAAAGUCAACAUGUAUUCCGCAGCAUCUGCGUUCCUUAAUAAAUAAAUAUAUAAAGAUAUGUAUCUCUCAAUGGAACUGCCACAUAUAAGUACCUAGAUUAUCUCAUAGUAAAACAAUUCGUGCCAGUAGAUGAUAAGGAUUUAGGUAUUGCAUCCAAGCAAACAACAAGGAAUGAUAAAAUCCAUUUAAUGACCCUAUAAAAAAUAAAUAAAUAAAAGGAAGAAAUUCAAGAAAUGAAAAUACUAAUUAGCAGUAAAGAAAUUUAAGAAUCCCUGUAGGAUAGGGAAACCCUAUAAAAAAAUAAUUAAAUAAACAAAAGGAAGAAAUUUGAGAAGCGCAAAUAAUCCUAAUUAGCAGUAAUGAAAUUUCAGAAUCCCUGUAGGAUAGGGAAAAGCCAACAUAAUCGGCGGUCUAAAUAACCCUCUAUUUAAAGGAGCAAAAUGGUGAAGAGCCGUCGUCAAUUAUUAGUUAACUCUUGUACAAUUAACUUCUUAACUUUUCCACUCUAAUUAUUUGGUCUUCCCUUGUUUUUAUUUUGUCGUCAAUAACGUGGGAUUAAUGGAAGAGGUAGAACAAGAGAAGAAGUAGGAGGUGAAGGAGGUAGUAAUAAUAGUUGUAGUAAGAGAAGAAAGAGUUGAAGAAGUUGCGGAGAUAAAGACCGAGACGAAGACCGAGAUAACGAUGAAAGGACACCUUUGCUGGCUGGAUGUGCUAGUGAAUGUGAUGGCUUUCAUUGCAGCUGCUACUACUUUAGUGCUUACUAUAUGGGCCUCCUGCCAAAUUCCUAAAACGAAAAGUUCUGUUUUAGUGAUCAUUGUAGUUCUUAUAGGUGUUGCAUCUCUAUAGCUCGCUGCAAUGUAGCUCGACCAAAUGCAAGAGCCUCUCAGACUUCAGAUGGUACAAAUACAUAUUCUUAACCAAAAUAUAUGCAACAUCAGACGGCAACAAAGCCUACUGGAAAGAAAAAAUCGUUGAUAGCCUUUCGAAAUCACUAUGAGACCUAGUUCGAGAAAAAUUCAUGACUCAAUAUAACAAGACUGUACCAUGAGAAACAAUAACCUAUGGACAGUUAACCAGUCAAAUUCAACAAAUCUCACUCAAAGUAUGUAGACAAGACAAGAUGCUCAGACAACUUGCAAAGGAUUAAACCCAAAGGAGAAAAGAUCUUAGAUCAUUCUGGGAAUAGUUUGGGUUACCUAACUAUUAUAAAAAAAAUCCCAUAAACAACCUUGAAAAAUCCUCCUACUACAACAAGAGAUACCAGGCCAAUAAACAACCACUUCUCAUACAACCACCUCAAAUCACCGGACCAACUCCAUCUCCAAUCAUUUGUCACAAAUGUCACAAACUUGGACAUAUAACCCGAUAUUGCAAAUUCAACCAAAAAAUCAAUACCUUAGGUCUAGAUGACCAAAUUAAAAUCCAAAUAUCAAAUCUUCUGAUUGAAUCAGAUACUGAUGAUUCUGAACGAGAAGAAAAUUAUAUCAAUCAAUUAGAUGAUGAUAUUUCAACAUCUUCCUCUUUGGGUAUUAUUGGGUAAUCCAUUUAUACUCAUAUGUAAAAACUUAAGAUACAUAUAUCCAUUUAUUCAUGGGUAGAUAUGGAUAAAUUUAGUUAAAUGGAUUUAUCUCCCACCUAUAUUUAAGAGUAACCAUGAAAAUCACGACGCUACUAGUAUAUUAUCCCAGAUCUGAUUCUUCUUAACUUCAUUAACUUUUUCUUCUCCUAUUGCUACUAUUAUAACAUGAGGAAACCAAAAGCCAAUAAAUUGAAAAACUAAGAAACGACAAAAGAGAUGAGAAAGUCUAUGAUGAUACUGUUUCUUUUGCUCCUUACUUUAAAAAGAGGAAUAAUUGAUGACGGGAGGGGGCUAAAUUCAUAUCCUCUCAUCCUAAAUUCAUAUCUUAACUACCAACAUGACAAUAAAGUUCCUAUCACUUACAAUUUUUUACAAUUUUAAAAUUAUCAUUUCAUACAAUAACAAUUUGCCAUAACAAUAUUCUUUCAAUUAUUUCCUCAUUUUCUUUUAAUUCAUUGAUUGUUCUUUUUAAUAAUUUACAUUGCAUUAAGUGUCUUUAACUAAUUGUAAACUCAUGAAACCAAUCAAACUACAUAACAGAAUUAGAGAUUGCAGGUACUAUGAAAGUGCGACUACACAAAUAAUUUCAUCACUUCAAUGCAAUAGAUAUGCAUCUUACAAACGAAAUAAAAAAAAAAGAACAUCAAAUGCUUCGUGAAUUUGGUACAAUGUUUGAUAAACAACCAAAACCUUUAGUGAGGUUAUACAUAAAUGUCAAAAGAUUAGAAAUUUUUAUAAGAAACAUUAAAAUUAUGAUAAUUUUAAUUGUUAUAUAUUGAGAAAAACAAAUUAAGAAUACGCAUUACACAUCUUAUAAGCUCAAAAUUUAUCUAAAGUCGUGAAAAUUUUAUUGAAAACAUUUAAAAGAUAAACUAACAGAAAAUUUUUUUAAACAAAUCAUGCUAAGCAAAUUAAUUGUAGUGUGUAAAAAAAGGCAUAAAAUUAGAAUUGCAAAACAUUUGAACAAAAUCAUCAUAUUAGUCUUUAAAGUGUGGAUAUAGAAGAUAAAGGUGUGGAUUUACGCCCUCCUCCCAUUGAUCAUUCUUUCACUGGCACCGACUUUCUUGUCUUUUCUUUUUUCUAGUGGGAGUAAGAAAUUUCUCUGAUAUUAUGUAUUUUUCCCAAUUUUUCGUGGAUAGUGAGAAUGUUGAUUGUCUUUAUUGUUCACAUAGAUGCGAAUAACCUAAGUCCUAAUCCAAAGUGUUAAUGAUGAGAAUGUUAAUUGCGUUAUUCACUUGGAUACGAAUAACCUAAGUCGUAAUCCAAAGUGGAUUAGUCCCCUCUCUUCUCUCUAAUUCUGUUAAUAGACCCUAGAUUAAGAUUUAGCCACAUGCAAUUGGUGGAUAUAAAGGUCCGGAAUGCUUUAUUUUAUUUCCUAACCUUAAUUAAAUCAAUCAAAUGAUUCAUCCAAUAACUCUUGUUAAUUAAAUCAAUCAAAUGAUUCAUCCAACCUGCAUUGAGUACUGAAGCGUUAUGCAUAACUUGUAAUAGUAGUUUCCAAAUGUUUAAAUCAUAUCUCACACAAAUUGUACUUAAGAAAUUUUUUUUGUCAAUUCUUGAAUUUUACGAGGUAAUGCAUUGACCUCCAUAUUACUUCAAAUUUGACAAAUAAGUAUGUGCUUUAUAAUCUCAAAAAACUUACUGGAGAUCCUAACAAAAAUAUUUUGAGUUGUUGAACUCUUAAUUCUAGCAGCAGCUUUGAUCCUUGACUACCACCAGGCCAAAAAAAAAAAUCACUUGUCUUUUUUUUACCUUCAUCCCAGAAAAUAAAGGUCUCAUUUGGAUUGCAAUUUUUUUUCUUUGGAGAUUUUGGAAGUUUCUUGUAAAAUGAUGGAAGAUGUGUUAAGGGAAUAUCCUACACAUGCGAGAAAUUUGACGCUAAAGAAGUAACAUUCCAAAGUUUCAUACUCUGUCUUGCAUGGACCAGAGAGAUUAGUGUCAGGAUGAAGAAUAUAAACCCAGAAAUGUAACAAAACUAUAACAUGCAACGGUGAUGUUUUAAGCAAAUACAAUCAGUAGUCGUUUGAGGGAGGAAGUAAUAGAAUUGGUUAGAGUCGGUUACAAAUCCUAUAUGUAAAGAGAUGAUUGGUGAAAAAGGAAUCUAAGGAAUAACAGAUAUCAAUUCUCUAUUUCUCUCUCUUUUUCUUACCUUCCCUUUUCUUCCUUCCCCUUUUUCCCGCCAUUUGUUCUCAAAAUCCACAUUAGUCCUCAUAACCCCAAAUCACUAAUCAAGAUCUUGACAUGUGGUACCAGAGUAGGAUGAAUCCUCAAAAAAUUCGGAUUCAAUGGCAGAAAGCACUAGGUUUAAGACAUUGGAGGAGCAAAUCAAGAAGCAAGAAAUUAAGUUUCAAGAGGUAGUAGAAGGUCUACAAGCUUCACAUCAUCAGCAACAACAAAUAUGCAAUGAACUGCGCACAGAACUAGAAGACAGCAAUAAAAUGAUGGAAGACCUGGUAGCUGGAAUAAAGCAAGAAUUUAGUGCAUUUAUGAAGAUGAUGAUGAGAAGAGACAAGACAAUUCUAGAAGAAGGUAGACAAAGAAAUGACCAAACACCCCUAUUACCGACUCCGCCAUUGAGUCAGAGGUUACAGAUUGGCUCUGAGAACACUAAAACAACAAAGAAGAAGGUAGGUAUGAUUCUAAUACCAAAUCCUCCAAAAAUUAACUUACCAUUGUUUACUGGUGAAAAUUCGAGAGAUUGGGUCAAGAAAUGUAAUGAGUACUAUUUGAACUAUCAAAUCCCUGAGGAACAGAAAGUGAAAGUCAUAGAAAUGUAUUUAGAAGGAAAGGCAAACC
rnacentral:lncRNA from 1 species